CUCAAUUCAAUACCUAUAAUAUAAAACAAGGUACCUCAAUACCUCAGAAUACAAACUAUUCAAUUAAAAUGUUGUUGAUUCAAUAUUUAUUUGCGUUACAACCAAUAAUCCUCAAAUAUACCAAAUACGUCAAAGAUGUAAUGAGCCCAUGAUGAAUUUUUCUGAUUCUUGUACCCCAAAAGAACACAUACUAUAUAAUCUGAUAAAGGAUGUCAUACAACCUACGAAGCGUGGCUCAAUUUGGUAGUUUAACAGGCUCCAAAGCUGCUCAAAUCCGCUGCUAGCUGUCUGAUAAAAAAAAAGGUGAAAAAAAUAUAUGAGCUUAAAGCUCAGUGAGUGGAUAAUUUUCAAAUAAGUAAACUUUUCUCAUUUAUAUAUAUUUUCUGAAAAUUCUUGCACUACUAAAACUUCUAGAAAUUCUGAAAUUUAAUAACACUUUUAAAAUCAAACAUGAAUAUAUCAUAAAAUUUUUUAUUCUUCAUUCUAGAUAAGUAACUGUAAAAUGUAACGAAUAUAAAUAAUAUGACAUCCGUGAAAUUCUAUGAAAUAUUGCUGCUGCUCAGUACUAUAAGUUGAAAGCUUUAAUCUGAGAACUGAGUAGACCGAAUUCUAUAAUCUGAAAUCUGAUAAGCUAUAGAAAUACUGAAAAAUCAUACCAAAAAGGUACCCAGAAUAACUAUACUCAUGUAUUAGUUUGCACCGAUAGACAUAACAAAGCUAUUCAAUUAUGUAAUUCUAAAAUUCUGGUCAUACACGCACAAAGCUAUUUGGUCAUACACUACGGAAAUACAUUCACAAUAGUGCAGAGCGGGUAAAAUCACCAUAGCUGGUCAUACACUGUAGAAACACAUUCACACCAGUCCGGAGCGGGUAAGAUAACCAUAUGGAGUCAUAUACUGUGAAAACACAUUCAUACAAGUGCAGAUUAGGGUAAAGUCACCUGGGUACUUUCUGAUGGUUUUAAAGUAAUUUUAAAUAUAUUGAAAUAUUUAAUACUGAAAUGGUAUGUCAAUGAAAUGAUUUAACUAAACCGAAUUUAACUUUAAAAAUGAUUGUUUAUAAAUCAACUUUAUUCUAAAAAUUACGCUAUCAAAUCAACUUUAUGAAAUAAUAGAUUUAUUUAAUCUAACAUAAAUUUAAUAAAUAGUAAUUUCUAAAAAAUAAGUUUUUAUCCAUUCACCAAGUCAUAGUUGAUCAUUGUUUCGAUCUUCUCGUUGCCUCCUCACUUUCAAUACUAAGAAUGUUAUCACGCUCUCGCUACAAUAAAUCAUAUCCCCUCAUAGAGGAGUUUUGAGUAUUUUCCUACCAUUAAAAAUAUUAAUUUACCAAUGGGAACUUAAUAUAUUUUAUUUUCAACUUCAUAAUCCCAAUUAAGGUCACUAACAACAUAUACUCCUUCAUAUAAAUUAUUUUAACACCAAAACCUCAAAUAUUCAACACUUAAUUUGGUUCCAAUACUAAAAAUCCACCAAACUUAGAUGAUUGACAAAACUAGCACAAUCAUUCCAAAAUAUUGAAACUAGCACCAAUGUCUAUAUAUUAAAAAAUCUAUCAUCGAAAACAUGGACAGAAAUAGCGCUUUUCUGGACAGUUCAAAAAUAGCACAUAUACUACAAUAGCUCGAAAAUGGCUGAAAAAUUGGAGAAUUUCAACCUCAAAUCCUUAAUCUAAGUGUUUAGUAACAUAUAAUCACAUGAAUUUAAAAAAAUAUGCCUUUAUCUCACAAACCCAUUUCCAAAGUUUCCACUUUCUUCAACAUCAAUAUCCAAAUAAACAUUUAUUUGCUAUAUCUUUAUUUAUAACAUCAAAUACAUAUCAAUAACACAUAUUUCUAGCUAAAAACUUUGAAUUAAAACAAAUUGUCCAUAUCCCUUAAAAAAUUAAUUCAAUAUACUUUAUACUUACCAUUUAAAUCAAAGAGAAGUUGACAACUUGAAAACCCUAGCUUGAAACCAUCUUCUUCUUCUUCUUCUUCUUCUUCUUCCCUUCUCUUUUCUUCUCACUCGGUUUCUCUCUAGCCUUCUCCCAUUUUCCUCCAAAAAUAUAGAAAAUGGGUAAAUAGAUGAUAUUUAAUGGAUAAUUAUUGAAUAAUUGCAUAUCAAGUCCCUCCUUUUAUGUUUUAAAUAAAGUCUAGUCAUUAACUUUCCAUUCUUGUAAAAUAAAUCCUCAAGUUUAAAUAAUGUUCAUGUUAAACCCUCAAGGAUUGUCAAUUUGUAAAAUAACUCCAAUAAAAUAAUUUACUUCAUUAAGGUCCCCAUUUGACUUUGACUUUGAAAAUUCAACUCUUGCCUUUUUACUAGAUAAAAUGGGUUGUAACAAUAUGUGCUUGAAACUAGUGUGUAUCCGAGAGAGACCGAAUCCAUGAAAGAGCUACGUAAUAAGACUGAAACACACAGUAGCUGGUAAAAUUCAAUCCAUUUUCAAUUUUAUUUUAUUUAUUAUUUUUUUUAUUUUUUUUAUUAUUUUAGUGAAGAUCCAAUCUGGAUUUUAAUAAAUUUUAAAUUAUACAGGAGCUACAAGACUAGUUCUGCUGAUGUAGGUCAGUUCUUGAACAUGAUUCUCAAACUCAUCAAUGCCACGAACACAAUGCAAAUUGGAAUACAGAGCGGUUAUGUUCUCCUUUCAACUGCACUGGCUACUCCUAAUGAUGGAAAGGUAAGAGUUUCAAUAUCUAGAAUGAUUAUUUAAUCUAUCUAGGAUGGUCAAAUGAAUAGUGUCUAGAAAGCUCUUUUCUUGAAUGUCAUCAGAUUUUGUGCAUAGAUUACGGCCGUGGAAAUUAUCAACUCUAUUUUCCAGCAAUCGAAAAGGCUGGCAUGGCUCACAAAAUCGACUACAAUGAAAGUUCGAUAUCUCUUGUUCUUAAAAUGAGCAAAGAUGUAAGUAUAUGCAACUUAUUUCUUACAUUUUAAUUGCUUUUUCUUAAUUUCAAUAUAUUAUAAAUAUACCACAAUUACUUUGUCAAAUGUAAUACAGGAAAAGCAUCACGGGGAAUUUGAUUUCAUUUACGUGGACGCUCACAAGACAACUUGUUCAGAAUAUCACGAGACAUUGAUUGAAUUAGCCAGGAUAGGGGGAGUCAUUGUUUAUGACAAAACUCUCCUCAGUGAGACUCUGGGGACGCUGCGGAUCGGAUCAGACAAUGAUGCUAGUGGAAAUAGGUAUUAUGGGGAUCCAGUGUUACUGUUUAACGAGAAAGUGGCUUCUGAUCUAAGAGUCGAGAUUUGCCAGGUUCCAGUGGGCAUCGGCGUCAGUCUUUGCCGCCGUAUAAGAUGAUCAGUUAAGGAAGAUAUAAAAUGUUCAACUGGCUGCAGCAGCAUUAUUUCUAUCAAAUUCCGCCAUUUAUUUUACUUCACAUUUCGCGCAGCAUAUGCUUCUGCACCUAUAUAAUAUGCACUUGUUAUUCCUUUUCUAUCAGCUGCCUGCAAGUACAACGAUUCAUAUCAGAAUGUUUAUUGCACGGUUCUUGUUAGGGUUUAGGGUUUCAGUGUCUAUUAAUAGUAGUGUGAGUCUAUGUUUCUGAUUAACUAUUGGUUCUGCAAAUUCAACAAGAAUGUUUAUUGCACUGUUCUUGUUACAAUGUCUAUUAUUUUUGCAGUGUUUUUAUAUGUUUAUCAUUAACUAAUGAUCCAGCAACUCUGAAAAGCUCCCAAAUUGUUUUGGUAAAAACCUUUCAAAUUAAAAUACACUAAUAAAUAAAACAUUUUCUUUUCGUUAUGUUUUCUAAGACAACUCCAAUUAUAGCCGUGAUUUAAAUUAUGUUUUAGAAAUGCUUAAACUCACGACAGCAAAAAUUAUAACCUUNNNNNNNNNNNNNNNNNNNNNNNNNNNNNNNNNNNNNNNNNNNNNNNNNNNNNNNNNNNNNNNNNNNNNNNNNNNNNNNNNNNNNNNNNNNNNNNNNNNNNNNNNNNNNNNNNNNNNNNNNNNNNNNNNNNNNNNNNNNNNNNNNNNNNNNNNNNNNNNNNNNNNNNNNNNNNNNNNNNNNNNNNNNNNNNNNNNNNNNNNNNNNNNNNNNNNNNNNNNNNNNNNNNNNNNNNNNNNNNNNNNNNNNNNNNNNNNNNNNNNNNNNNNNNNNNNNNNNNNNNNNNNNNNNNNNNNNNNNNNNNNNNNNNNNNNNNNNNNNNNNNNNNNNNNNNNNNNNNNNNNNNNNNNNNNNNNNNNNNNNNNNNNNNNNNNNNNNNNNNNNNCCAUAGCCCUCCAAGGAAAUGGGACGAACCGUGAGCAACACUAUUAACAAUAGGUUGCUUCUAACGGUCCAUAGGAAUGUGGAUUGGGUUGUCUCGAUAAUUAUGUCGAUAUACAAAUCAAUCAUAUGGCCAAGGCUGAUUGAUAAUAGAACCGGGGUUACAUCAUAGCUCGGGGGGUCGUUUGACAACAAAUUGUCUAACAACCUCCACCUUGGUGUCAAAGGACCUGCAAAAGAAAAAUGUCUCCCAUUAGUGACACCUCUAAUAGAAAAUCGAUAAAAAUUGGAAAUCAUUUACCUGUACCAAUGUUUAGAAGUUCCUUGUAACUUCUAAAUUUUGCCAGUGGCAGUACCUUCGUCCCCAUAUCAAAGGGGUUGUAGUGGGUGUGGACCUUUUCAAGUCUUAUCACCUCUUGAGAUACUAUAUUUGUAAUGAAGUGGAGUCUAACAUCAGUGUGUUUAGUGCGCUCGUGAAAAAUGGGGUUCUCGCAUAAAUGUAUAGAUGACUGACUAUCAGAAUACACUACCAUAUAAUCAUUCAAGAUACAUAGUUUAUGAAGUAGGCCUCUAAGCCAUAGAGCUUCUUUAAUAGCUUCAGUGGUAGCAAUAUAUUCUGAUUCUGUAGUAGAUAGUGCAAAAAUAUGUUGUAACUGUGAUUUCCAACUUACACAUGAAUUAGAUACUUCCCAAUGUUCAGGGCCCGGAUUAACCAUAUAUCUACUGAGAGUACUAACAGCAAAACAUAAAUCCAGUCUAGUGCAAACCAUCAAAUACAUUAUGGAAUCAAUCACAUUAGAGUAAGGCACUCUACUCAUGUAUUCUACUUCACGCUCAUUGUAAGGGGAUUGUUCCUUCGAUAAAACAAAAUGAUUAGCAAGAGGCAACGUGACAGAUUUGCAAUCACUCAUAUUAAAUUUCUUCAAUACUUUGGAUAUGUAUGGAGACUGAUGCAAAAACAAAACAGAAUUUGACAUGUCUCUUUCGAUUUCAAUACCUAACAUUCUCUUAGCCUUACCUAGAUCUUUCGAUUUCAAUACCUAAGAUUCUCUUAACCUUACCUAGGUCUUUCAUGUCAAAUUCACCACUUAGUUUUGCUUUUAUGUUAUUUAUUUACUUAGAGGAUGAUUCAAUCAAAAGCAUGUCAUCUACAUAGAGCAACAAAAACAUAUAAUUAUCAUCAGUCUCAUUGUGUUGAAAAUACAGACAGUGAUCAAAUUUACUUCUUUGGAACCAUAUAGUGAGUACAAAGGAAUCAAAGCUCUUGUAGCACUGUUUAGGAGAUUGUUUUAACCCAUACAAGGAUCUUCUCAGAAAACACACAUAAUCAGUUUUUGACUUAUCCUUAAAACCUUUUAGUUGAUUCAUGAAAAUUUGUUUAUCAAGCUUACCAUGUAAAAAAAUAGUUUUUACGUCAAGUUGUUCAAGUUCCCAGUCAAAGUGUGCAACCAAUGCGAGCAUGACCCUAAUAGUGGUGUACUUAACAACUGGUGAGAAAAUUUCAUUAUAAUCAACGCCCUCCUUCUGUGUAUAGCCUUUAGCUACUAACCUACCUUUAAACCUUAGGGGUUUCGAGCUGCUAAUACUUUCCUUAACCUUAAAGACCCAUUUGCAAUCAACAAUUGAUUUGUUCUUAGGCCUAGGUACUAGCUCCCAAGUAUGAUUCUUUUCUAGAGAACUCAUCUCUUCUUUCAUUGCCUUAAGUCAUUCAUUAGAUUGAUCACUGCCUAUUGCCUCUUCAAAGGUCUUUGGUUCUUUAUCAGCUAGUUCUUCGUAACUAGCCUGGGCGAAAGCUAAUUCAGAUUCAAAAUCGAACCUUAUAGGUUCUCUCGUUUGUCUUCUCUCUCUAUCCCUAAUUAAGUUAUAGUUAGCUAAAGGAUUUUCUUCCUCAUUAUGCUCUUUUGUCAUUAUUUCGUUACUAUUCUCCACCUCGGGUUCUUGAGCUUGAGUCUCCACCUCACUUGAAGCAGUAAGGGCAGGUGGACUGAGUUUUCCUAACUCCACCUUAAAUUGGUCUCUCUCUUUACCUGGUUCAGCUUCACUCUCAGGUUCAGUUUCUCCUUUAAUACACGACAUCUCAUUUUCAUUAAACGUGACAUCUCUACUUAUGAUGAUCUUCACCCCUUUUUGGCUUCUAUCCCAUAACCUAUAACCCUUAACACCCUCGGGGUAUCCUAGAAAGACACACUUCCUAACUCUAGGUUCCAACUUACCCUUACUUUGAUGAGAAAAAGUUGUACAGCCAAAAGUUCUAAGCAUCGAGUAAUCACUCAGUUUAUCUGACCAUCUCUCAUGCAAAGUGUCACCAUUCAAUGCAGCAGAAGGAGUCAAAUUAAUCAAAUAACAAGUGGUCAUAAUAACCUCACCCCAAAAUGAUUUGGGAAUACCAGAACUAAUCAUCAUGCAGCGUACUUUAUCAAGUAUGGUCCUAUUCAUCCUUUCUGCUGCCCCAUUUUGCUGAGGAGUGUAAGAAAUGGUCUUAUAUCUAGUUAUGCCGCUUUCUUUACACAUACUAUCAAAUUCCUUAUUGCAGAAUUCUAGGCCGUUCUCUGUCCUUAAAAUUUGAUUUUUUUUGCCAAUUUGGUUUUCCACUUGUCUCUUCCAAUUGUUAAAACUAUUAAAUGUCUUAGAUUUAUCCUUCAAAAGAUAGACCUAUAUUUUCCUAGUGUAGUCAUUGAUAAUAGACAGGAAAUACCUAUUCCCACCCGAUGUGGGAUUACUAGCAGGACCCCAUAGAUCAGAGUGCACAUAUUCGAGCAUGCCUUUAGCUCUAUUAACACUCGUGGAGAAAGAAGUUUUAUGAUAUUUACCAAGCACACAAUGAUCACAAAAUGACAAAUCUGACACACAGUCAUUACCAAAAGCACAUUUUUCGUUAAGUAGCUUAAGUCCCUUGACCCCUACGUGAGCAAGUCUAUUAUGCCAUGUGUGUGUGUGAUCAAUCUUGGCAAAGGAGAUAUAGGGGUUCACACCUCUAAUCACUUCCCCAGUAGUAAUAUAUAUAUAUAUAUAUAUAUAUAUAUAUANNNNNNNNNNNNNNNNNNNNNNNNNNNNNNNNNNNNNNNNNNNNNNNNNNNNNNNNNNNNNNNNNNNNNNNNNNNNNNNNNNNNNNNNNNNNNNNNNNNNNNNNNNNNNNNNNNNNNNNNNNNNNNNNNNNNNNNNNNNNNNNNNNNNNNNNNNNNNNNNNNNNNNNNNNNNNNNNNNNNNNNNNNNNNNNNNNNNNNNNNNNNNNNNUAUAUAUAUCGUUUUUCUUAAUUCCCUUAAUGGAAACUAAAGCACCCUUGAUCAUUUUUAGCAUAUCAUUUCCAAUUUUACUAGUAAAAUCAUCCUUUUCAAGUCUUCCCAUUGAAAUCAGAUUCCUAGACAACUCAGGAAUUUAUCUAACGUCCUUUAACGUAUACACAAAAUCUGUGUCAAAUUUUGCGUUUAAGUCACCAAUUCCAACAAUAGUAUAGGCAAAGUUAUCACACAGCACAACAUGCCCAACAUUAGAUUCAUGUAACUUAUAAAAUCAAUUCUUUUCAAAAGUCACAUGAAAAGAUGUACCAGAGUCAAGUAUCCACUCAUGCAUGCGGAAAUUAGCAGUUAGAUUUAAUUCAGCAGUGUAUGCAACGGGACUUGUAAUCAUAUAGACCUUACCACCAUUUAUAUCGGAGGUAGAUGCUAACACAUUGACCUUAUCUCUCUCUUUAACCUUUAGCUUACCCUUCUCCUUAUGACAAUCUUUUAUAAAAUGCCCCGUGUUUCCACAACCAUAGCAUUUUCUCGCCUUAGUCCUAGAUUUUGAUCUAGACCUACCUUUGCUCUUCUUUUUCCAUCCAUUACCACUUGACUCGCCACUAGUUUGAUAUCCAUCAUGACUAUUUUGCCUAAAUUGAGUUCUACCUCGCAUCAUAUGUACCUCACCAUUCCUCUUAUCAUGUUUUUUAGCCCUAAUUUCCAUUUCUUUACUUCUAAGGGAAUCUAUGACAAUUUCAGGUGCCAACGUGUCUCUACCAUACUUAAUGGUGUUCUUAACUUCCUUAUAGGAAUCAAGAAUUGCAUUGAGCAAAAUUAUAGCCUUAUAAGUUUCGGACACUGUCUCAUCACAAUUAACUAUAUCUUGCACUAAUUUAUUAAACACAUCUGAAUUGUCAUCAAGAUCUUUUGAGGGAUCCAUUUUGAAACUGAAAAAACGUUCGAGCAAGUAAAGUUUAUUCGGUGUAGACUUAAGCAAAUACAAGUCUUCUAAUUUUUUCCAAGGUUCUUUAGUGGUUUUCAGUUUACCCACCUUUCUUAAAACAGCGUCAGACAAGUGUAAAAUAAUUGAGGUAUAAGCAAGAUCAUCGGCUUCUUCUCUUUAUUUUUGUGAAAAAUCAGUUGAAAAAUUACCUUCAAUGGCCUUUGAAACCUUUUCUUGGGCUAAAAUGCCCUUCAUUUUUUGUUGCCAAAUAGCAAAGUCACCCUUUCCAUUAAAAAUUUUCAAAUCAAAAUUGUGAGCUGUCAUUUUUACACAACAGUCAAAAAAUGCACAAACCAUAAUCAAACCACACAAAGUAGUCCUAGGGUCACAGAUAGUAUCCACCGUUCUAGAUUCUCAGGGUUUCGUAAGACUUGCGGUCUUAGAUCAAGGGAAUAUUCGAACGAGUAAGGUCACGGUAUUUCUAAUGGAAUAAGUAAGCAGAGGAAGUAACAAUGUAGCAAGAAAUACGUCUAGCAGAUAACUAGUCUCACAGUAAUUAGAUCACUAAAAAUUACAAAACUAAUUUUAACCCAAAAACAAAUACUCAAUCAAAACAAUCAAGAGCACAUAACGCUAAUUCUAGCACAAGCAAUCAUUGCUAAGCGAUGACAACCCCCAACCUAUUGUCACCCCCACACGGUGACGCGCUAAUACUGAAAAUUAACGGGUUAAGGCAAUUUACUAGAACGGACGUGUCUGAGUCCGUAUAAUCGAGAGAGAUGCAAAUUUGCUACUUUGGGGCCACCACUAUUCGCCCUAAAGAUUCAGCAAAUAUAGCAAUUCUGAUCAGCAACAAAUGCAGAUUGAAGGUCGGGGCGAAAUCCUCUAAUCUUUUCUGCACAACCUGAAAUACUAAACCAAACAUAUUAGAAUGUUUAGGAAAUCAAAAUUAGUAAAAUGGCACGAAAAAACUGUGCAGGCAGUCCUCCAUGCGUCGCCAUCCACUACCAGUCGCCGUCCCAUGCGCUUCACCAUCAGAGGCGCCUCCACCUGCUGGUUAUGGGUCCGACCUCCGUUCGUCCAACAGAGGUCGCGUUUGGUUGGAAUAGAUUCGGCCCCUUUGAGAAAUCACGAGACCCGCCGCCGUUUUGGUGGAUUUUUGGCUAGAGGAGAUGAUCGGCGGCUAUGAUACCAGAUGUAGUGCCAAAUUUCGGCCAACACCAAGGUAAACCGGGCUCAGUUUCACCAAGAAAUCGCGACACCAACGGGUUGAGACAACUUCAAACCACCACCAACACCGCCCCACUUUCGGUUGCUAUUAGUUGGGUAAGAUGAAGAACAAUAAUAUGCCCACUUGAAAUAAAUCACAAAGGUCACAGAGAAGAGAAGGAAUCAAGGGGAGAGUGUCACAGAGAGAGGUUGGGCAUUCUUCAUAUGGAGGCCGAGAGGAAGGCCAAGAAUAUAAGCUAAGCAAAUAACCAAACAAGGUAAGUUAUGUUAGGGUUAUUUAGUGGACCAAACAAGACUCGACUCAAAGAUAAUGUGCUUCAAAUUAAUAACAUUGCCCUUAAGGAAAUGGGACGAACCGGGAACAACACUAUUAACAAUAGAUUGCUUCGAACGGUCCAUAGGAAUGUGGAUUGGGUUGUCUCGAUAAUUGUGUCGAUAUACUAAUCAAUCAUAUGGCCAAGGCCGAUUGAUAAUAGAAUCGGGAUUACAUCAUAGCUCGGGGGGUCGUUUGACAACAAAUUGCCUAACACAUGUCACAUGAGAAGGUCACCUUUCAACUGAUAGGGAAAAUAAAAUUUUGAUUUUUUAAAAUAAAAAUAUCAUUAUACUUUGCCAAAAAGAAAAUAAGAUCACCUUCCCAUUAAUGAUUAUUUUCACACCCUUUUGACUUCUAUCCCACAUUCUAUAAGCUUUUACGUACUCCCUUAGGAUAAUCUAGAAAGACACAUUUUCUAACUCUAUGUUUGAGCUUUUCCUUACUUUGAUAAGCAUAACCAAAAAUAGUAAGCAUGUGUUGAUGAUAGAAAUCUACAAAUCCUCUUAAAAAGUUAUGAUUUUUGCCUCCUAAACUUAUUAUUUUGAUGUUCAAACUAAAAUAAGAGGUAAACAGUUAUUUUAGAGGAAGAUAUUUGAAUUGCAUGCUCUUUUCUUCAAAAGUAGAGGUAUUUAUAGAUUUUCGUUAAGCCUUAGAGCAGUUUGUUCGUUGGGGAGAAUUACAGAUGGUGGCUCUUUAUUGACUAGCUCAUAACGAAUUCUAUUAUUUAUAUUAAAUCUAGUACUAGUUGUAUUUUUAUCGAUUUUAUGAAUUCAUUGUACUUCUUAUUGUAAGUGUAGCUGAUGUGGCUUGUAUUGACAAGAUAUGUUAUGAUCGUUGUAGUUUUUGCGUGCGCUAUAGUACUUAUUUGUGCAUUUUUAGGUUAAUGCCCUAUAGGCAUUUAAUGUGCGUGUUCGUCACGCAUAAAUCUCAUCCAUAUAGUUUCGAAUAUAGAUCAAACUCAUGUUGAUAUCCAAUGAUUGUAAUUAUAAGAAAAACUCGAAUGGUUGAGAUCUACCACUGAUCAAAUCGAUGGUUCAUGCCUCCAUCCGAACCUAUAAAUAUUCCCCUUUUACUUUUUAUCGCUUUCAUCAACUUUUUGUAUUUUUCUUGUAGCAGCCUCUCAUUGCUCUUUCCUUUCUUCUCCAAUAUGCUAUUAUCAGCUUUUGACAUUUCAUGAUGUUACUCUUUUCGUAGAAAGGGCCAACAGUGUGCUUUUCUCUAAUUUUACCAGAUUUAUCUAGUCAAUUUCUUUCUGGAUUCUCAAUUAUUGCGCACAGCGAUGCAUUUUCCACCAUUAACACCUUUAGGCUUUCAGCUAUCUCCUAGAUCUUUUUGCAAUCGAUAUGUUUUUCCUUAAGCGAUGAUGCUGAACAGAAAAAAUGCAAACUUACGAUUUUGCCUGUGUCUCCUCCCACUGUCGUUUUGGAUUAUCAUCGCUAUCUGUUGGGCUGUUAUGCCUAAUGACCUUUCUGGGCUGUAAUGACACAAUGGGCUAAAGCCCAAAAUCUGUUUUAUUAAUACCAAGGCUCUUUCCCAAUAACAUGACUUGAUUUACUCAGCCCAAAAGGUAGAAAAUGUGUUUUUUCAGGCGUGGCAUUUUAAUGCAGUUCAAAAACACGACCUCUUCAUUAUUCUUGGGAGCCCUCGAUCGUUGGAUGAAAUCUUGAUCAAUGGUUAUUUUUGUGUGGGUAUAUAUAUGUCUCUAGCUUGCGCUAAUAAGUUGGAACGUCAUUCUUCUUUCCUUAAGCAACACGUGAGACUUCUUCCAGACUCUUCCAAAACCUUCUUCUUCGUAACCUUCCAAUCUCUGAUUGGAACAUAUUUCUGAGUGAUAUUUCUGUGUGAAAUUGAAAUACUAAGUGUAUUGAAGGGGUUGGUGUGUGAUUUUACCGUUGUGGCUUCCUUUAAUUUGAUAGAGAAAAGGCCUUAGGGUUGGGUGGAUUAUUUGGGUCAUAUAGACGGGUACAAACCUGAUUUUCUCUGGAGUCUGAGCCCAAAUUAUGAAAGAUCUUCAUCUUUGAUGCUUGUGGUCUGAGUUUCGUUGAUCGGUUGGAUGCAGAUUUAUUUUCAUCAUUUUGUGUACUAACAUUUAUUCUUGAUUGUUUUGUAUUUUUAGGUUCAUAACUUUGUGUAACAGUGGUUUUAGAGCCUUCGACUGACUCUUGUGGGUAAACCGAACCGUGCUUCAGCAGUAUCGUGAAGAUCUUGGAAAUUUCUUCGAGUCACAACCCUAGAUUUGGCAUUUUCUUUGUGAUGAAUCUGUUUUUUCUUGGUGAAAUAUGUCUACGAUGACUGGAUUCAUUCGUUCUUGGGCAUUGUGCACUCGCAUCUUGGUGAAAUUCGUGUGUCGUCAUGUGAAACGACCACCACUGUGGUUUAACUCUUGGAACCCUAUAUACUGCCUGAAAUCUUAUUAUCUAUCUUACUUGAUUGAUAGUCCUUUCCUAAAUGAUUUAGUGUUAAACUAUUUCCUGGCUCUGUGUGACAUGAAAAUAACCAGCAUGUUCUGUUGAAGUAUUGAAACAUAUGUGUCAAUUGUUCUCUGUUCUUAUUCUGUUGGAUUAUUGCAGUACACUUGUGAUUGUAUUUUCUUCAUUCUUGUAUUAAUACCUUCCUCAUUUUUGUAUCAACAAAAACCUAUACCCAUCACCCAAGUCUUGACCUGAGAUCUUGAGUCUCACGGAAUCCUGGUAGGGCUAGGUAGUUGAUCUUUAAAACUUUUUGUUGUCUAUGGUAUAUUAAGUUGUACUUUCUGCCUUGCCUGUAAUAUCAAGAAUCUUUGUUUCUUAUUUGUCUGUUGUGAAUUAAUACGUGUGAAUUGUUUGAUUAACAAGAUGACCACAUCUAGUUUUGAACUUGGGGUCUUUAAUGGGAAGGGAGAUUUUCCUAUAUGGCAACAAAAAAUGAGAGGUGUUUUAGUGCAACAGAAAGUUUCUAAGGCUAUAACUGAAGAGUUUCCUGAAACAAUGACACAAGAACUGAGAACUGAAUCUAAUGAUUUAGCCUAUACCUCAAUUAUUCUUCAUCUGUCUGACCAAGUGUUUUGAAAAGUAGGGAAAUUAGAAAAUGCUAAGGCCCUAUAGGAGAAAUUAGAGGAGUUGUACUUAGUGAAGUCUUUACCUAAUAAACUCUUCCUUCUAGAGAGAUUCUUUAGUUUUAAGAUUGAUCUAGCCAAAGACUUGGAUAAUAAUCUUGAUAGCUUUAAUAAUUGGUACAAGAUAUCGCCAAUGCUGGGGAUAAAAUUUUUGAAAAAUACAAAGCAAUGAUACUUCUUAAUGCUAUACCAAAGGCAUACAGGGAUGUUAAAUCUGCCAUUAAGUAUGGCAAAGACACUUUGACUCCUGAAAUUGUAAUAAAUUCUAUAAGAAAUAAAGAAUCAAAACUUAAAACUGAAAGACAGGGGAAGGACUCUGAGAGUCUAUUCGUGAGAGGAAGACAACCAAAUAGGCAAAAUAAUAAUCAUCAAAAUCAUUUAGGAAACAGUAACAGAAAGAAAUUAAGAAGUAAAUCAAGAUCAAAAUCAAAAUCAAGAAAUAACAGGAAGUGCUAUGGUUGUGGUAAACUUGGUCAUUAUAUAAAAGAUUGCCAUAACAAGAAAAUUGAACUUAAAGAAAAGAAAGUUGAUGAGGAAAUUGUGGUUGAACCUGCUAAACCUAACACAGUUGAUGUAUAUGUGGUGGCUCAACAAUCUGAUCUGGAAGUGGCAAAUUAUGCUCACAAUACAUAUGUUCAUAAGUGGAUAUUGGACUCAGGUUGUACCUUUCAUAUUAUAUAUGAAAGGUCCUGGCUUCAAGAUUUUAAGAAGUUAGGAGGUAGAGAAGUGGUGAUGGGAAAUAAUAUUGCCUGUAAAGUUGAAGGUUUAGGUAAUGUCACCCUAAAAUUUGAAAAUGGAUACAUUUAUACCCUAGAGAAAGUGAGGUAUGUCCUUGAACUGAAAAGGAAUCUGAUCUUUAUUGGGGAAUUAGAUGACCUAGGGAUGUGUGGUAAGAUUGGAUAUGGGUUGAUGAAGGUGAUCAAGGGAUCUCUUGUCAUCUUUAAGGGUGUAAAGAAAAAUGGAAUAAAUGUAGUUAAAGCUGAAACAAUACUUGGAAAUAUAAUGCUACUGUCUCUAAUGUUGAAUUUGACCCAUGUGUUUUCAAGUUUUUGUUUGCAGGUUUCCAGCAUGCUAUUUUUUGAAAAGUUUAUGCAAGUUGCUUUAAAUCAUUGUAGUCUUUUCUUCUAGACCGACCCUGUUCUAUCAGCAAUUUGUAUUAUUUUUUAUUUCUGUUGAAAAUAUUCUGUUAAAUUUUUUGACUGUUUCAAUUUUAUUGGCUUGCAAUUCUAGGGAAUUGGUAACUGUUAUGCUAUUUGUUUUUUGAUGUUCAACGUUCGCGGUCUGCCUUAGUUGAACUCGAAUUCUGGAUUCGCCCCGAUUAAACUAUAUUCUUAUGCAUGUUUAUUAAGGUUACAGUUUUUUGUUGAAGAUCACGUGCCAAAACUCAAUCUUUCUAUAUUAAGAUCUUUUUCUUCUUCAAUUCCCUCCUUAUUUUUGAACUUAGGUUUCGUGUAUAGGCAAUUCCAAGUGCCUAUAAAAAUAGAUAGUUUAGAAUUUAUCCAAAGCUAAAUACAUAAAAUAAGCUAGAAACAAUUAGAUAUAUAGCAAUAUCAUAACUAAAUAUUGGAUUAUGAAACUUGCUUGAUUUUUACUCAUGAGAAGGUUAAGUUUGGAUGAGCUUCGGCCUGCCAAACUGAAGAUGGACAAAAAAUGGGUUAAUUUCACAAGCAAUCACUGAACUUACUUGAAAAAUACAAAAUGAUCACUAAAGUUUAAGGCUUAUAGAAACGGUCACUGAAAUUUAGAGCACGCUGAAGUUUAAAAACUUGCAGAAAUGGUCACCUAGAUUUUUCAGAUUUUUGGGCGAGUUUUGCGACAAUUUUUCGGCAACUUUUGACCACCAAGACUGUCGAAUUUGGAUACGGUUGGAAAACCAAAAAUGUCCUCUUCAAUUACCAUCCAAAAUCUCCCCAUAACUCCAAAGGAUUCGAUCGGAAUAAGCCCACAAAUUCAGCUCCCUGAAAUUUGAAAAUCUGCCCAGAUUUUCAAAAUUUUGGGCGAUUUUUGCGACAAUUUUCUGGCAAAAUUUGACCACCAAGACCGUCGAAUUUGGAUACCGUUGGAAAGCCCACAAUGCCAUCUUUAAUUACCCAAAAUCUCCCCAUAACUCCAAAGGAUUCGGCCGAAAUAAGCCCACAAGAUCAACUCCCCAAAAUCUCAUCCAAAAAUCUGCCCAGAUUUUUGGGCAAGUUUUGCGGCAAAUUUCUGGCGACUUCGUCCAUGAAGAUUGUCGAAUUUGGAUACAGUUGGAAAGCCCACAAUGUCCUCUUCAAUUACCACCAAAAAUCUCCCCUCACGAGAUACUAGAUCUGCCAGAGUUAAACACUAGUGUAUGUUGCAAUCAACACAAGAAAAAUGUGAAGUUGCAUAUACUUAGCCUCUGUUUAGUGGGAUUAAAAUUAAAAUUUUAGUAGAUUUUGAUAAAAAUGGAUGAAAUGUUAAUUGAAAAGUUGUGAAUCCAAUAAAUAUGUUGUUAAAAUUAAUUAUUAAAUUUGACUUGAAUUAAAAUCUAGAUAUUAAUUCCUAUCAAACAUGGACUUAAAUUUAAGAAAAAGUUAUUUAACACGUGAGAUGGAGGAGAAAAGAUUAAGGACAGACGAGCACUCAGUAGAACGAGAGUAUUGUUUCAAACUCGAAUAAAAUGCAUCAAUCCAUAUAUGUAAAUGGUCAAUACACAUUCAUACUGUUUCGUUCUUCAUUUUUACAAAAAGCAUUUGAGCAUCCCAUGGAGAUAUACUCGAAUGAAACUUUUAUCUAACACAACUUUUCCAAUUAUAACUUCAAUUCUUGAAGUUCUUCUUUGCAAUUCUAUACAAGAUCUUGGACAAUGAAAUUGUUCUGCGAAUCAUGUCAAAUGUAAAUUUCACUUGCCUAUCUAGCGGUAUGCUAGGUAGAUCUCAAGGAAAUACAUCUAUAAAGUCUCACACAAUAUUUACGCUAUUAGCAGUUAGUUCUACAAUUCAGAGACAUUGUGAAUUGGCAAAUAUUAUAAAUAUUUAAGAAGCUAACUAGUAGUCAUAUAAUCAAUUUCAGAGAUAUAGUGGAUUUGCAAACAUUAUCCGUAAACGAAGGCUUCCACUAGCUACUGCAAAUUUGCUUUCUAAAUCAGCUUCCCCAAUCGCAUGAGCAGCAACUUUCGACUGGAAAACCCAAAAAAUAAGAUAGUAAACUGAAGAUGGGUAUAUGAUUCCUCUCUUGAAACAAACUUUUAAGUGCCAUUUUGGUAAUUGGUGUACAGUAUUAGGUUAUACUAAUAGUAUAAUAUACGACAUUUUUUUCCUUUUUAUUAUUGUCCACAACUGUCACCUUUCCACACAUACUACAACAAAAUGGACAUUUGCACGCUGUAAAAGCUCACUAUUUACAGAGUGCACAUGCACGCCGUAAAAAGUGUAAACUCACUUUUACGGUGUAAAUUUUAAUUUUGUUUUUUAAAAAUAUUUGUUUAUUUGGUUACCAACAAACCCAUAAUAAUUACAAAAUAAAAAGAUAUACAUUAGUCAUAUAUAAAUAGAUUUUAUAUAUGUCCAAUAAACAAAAAUAAUGAAUACGGUUCAAUACAAUAUGCCAAAGUGUAGAGUUCGUCUAAAUAAUUCUAACAUCGUUAACCUACUCAAAAAGUUAAAAGAUAUAUUGUUCACACAAAAAAGUGCAAGAGCGUUCAAAAAUACCGAGAUGACAAGCAAAUGCAUACCAUCAAGUAACAUGACAAACUUUGAAAUGCAAACAUUAACUUACCGAGAUUUGCAGCUCUUGUAAAUUUGGCAAGUUCACGAUCAGCUGAAGGACAACUAGAACCUCUUUCAUGUCAUCAAAGCUAACUUGAUACAAUUCUAUGAACUUUAAUUGGUGAUAUGUAAUUGGAAUGCAUCCUUCGUGACUACUGAUACUCAAAUACGAGAGGUUAAUGAGUUCAAGACAAAAAAUAUUUUCACAUUUUAAAACAGCUAUGUAUAAGCAACAAAAUCGCAAGUGGUUUCUACACAAAGGCAAAAGAUAGCCAUAUCUAGUUAUUAAUCUUAAAAGUAAGUGGAGAUGGAUACCUUUGUGAAGUAUAUAUGUCCAAUAAGCUUCUCAAGCUGGUAACACCACCAAGAAACUUGUGGAAGUUGUAGCUUGAGCUUUGUUCGAAAUGCUCUGCUAUGUCAUUAGUCAUUGGUUAACAAUUUUCCAAUGAAUCAAAGCAAUUUUCUCAAAAUCUAAUAAAACCCGUUAAAAUAAUAGCAUUAUUAAAAGAUUAAGAAAAAAAAAGAGGGAUCUUGAGAAGACGAUUGAAAUUGAUAAGAGAUCAGAAUAGAAAGCAUUAUAAUUUUCAAUAUAAAAACUAAAGAAAAAUUGUAAAUUACAGAAAAAACUAGGAAUCACCAAGGAGACUCAGCUCUCAGGGUCCCACUAUCUCAGGUCCACAGUGUGCUACCGAUUGCUUCAAGGCUCUAUUUCGAAGUCCGAAGGUGCUGCUGCUGCGUGAAUCGUGACUUGCGUCUAGGGCUGCCGCGAUUGAGAAGUUCAAAGUCGGAGAUGGCAGAUCAACUGCGAAGACUCAGAGACGGUUGAUGACUAAUUGAAGGUGGAAUUUUGGGAGAAAAUGCCACGAAUGACCAGCCAUAUUUCAUAAAAUUGAAUGAGAUGGAAAAUAAUUGGGACGAGACAAAAAGAUAAGGGAAAGAAAAGCGGGAAAAAAGGCAUUUACGGCGUACAUAUGCACGCCAUAAAAAGUGUAAUUUUUUAACAAACACGGCGUACAUAUGCACGCCGUAAUAAGUCCAAUUUUUUUAACCAAACACGGCAUGCCCCUAAAAAACGUCGUAAAUAAUUACAUUUUACAGCGUGCAUUUGUCAAGUUAUUAAUUUUUUACGGCAUACAAAAAAUGCAUGCCAUAAAUAGUCUUCUUUCACAACAUGCCAUAAAUGUGCGCCGUAAAUGUAUGUUGUAAAAACCCAUUUUUGUUGUAGUAUUUUCCAUUUGGUUUGCAUGAAUAUUAUAACAAAAGGGAGACAACAUUUCAGAGUUGUCCAGUCAUAAUAUUCAUAAUAUUAUGUCGGGUAAUGCCUAAGAAGAAGUUUUCACAUUUUCAACCAAGAUCCAAAAAUCUGAAAAUAAAUAAGGAAAAAUUUCAAGAAAAACCUUCUCAUACUGAAACUGGUGAAAUGAAUUUUUGAUAACAUGCUCUGCAGCAAAUUGUCCCUCAGAAUGGCUCAAUAAGUUUAGGAUUGAGUAGUAGCUUAGCCUGAAAGUACUGACCAACGGCGAUGGAUUACCCAGGACCAUGUCCUUGAGGAUAUUCAUUUCCAUCUGGUUUAAAAAGGAACGUUUAGGUGCUAAUGAAAAGUUUAGUUAAAUCAUGUCUUGUAAGAUACUUGGAAUAGUAAAAUUUCAUGUCCUGGUUGCAAUAGCUCAAGUGUUGCCUGCUACUUAGACUCGCUUAUUCCAGAGAAUUACUUCAGUAGUAGCACUUAUUCAUAAAGCAGUGAGUUUUGGCAUUUGUUAUUCUUAUCUAUCUUGCCUUUUUCAGUCCACAUUUAAUAAUGGAGGUUUAAGUAACAGCAGUUAUUUUGCAAUGUAGUCUUAAUACAACUGAAUUUGCAGAUGUCCAGUUAGGCAUUACAUUUUAUUCCAUAACGUCAUCAACAACAAGACAAUUUCCAAAUGAAUCCGACUACAACCGCAUGGUUACAAGAUAUGGAAAGUAACUCACUAUCAGAUUCAUCUUCCAAGGAAAAUUUACUCUAAAAUUUUAUUUUUUUUCCCAAUAGUUAAACUGAGAUAAAUGGUGCCAGCAAUAAAAUGACCUUUUCAUCAACCAUUAUAAUACAAAUACCCUGCUCAUCUUUACCACGACGUCCAGCUCUACCACUCAUCUAUUGGGAAGAACAAUCAUGUCAAAAAAUCAUGAACAGAAAGUAGGUGUAAUGUGUAUCUCUAUUUUUAGUAAUAAUGUUGUAACAACUACUCACCUGGAUAUACUCGCCGAAUCCUAUACAUCGUUGACUAUCACCAUCCCAUUUUUUCACACACGUGAAAACCAUAGUUUUUGCAGGCAUGCUCAACCCCAUGGCAAACUGUUACGAAUUAAUAUCAAUAGUUAAUAGAUGCAAUAAUUUUUUUAUUUUAUUUUUUAUUUUUUAUUAUUAUUAUUAUUUUUUGGCUGAAAGUGCAAUGAUACACAUUAGAUAUUCUUAUUAUGUAUGUACUAAUACCAGUUUGUAUGAGAAUGUCGUAAGACCUUUAGUAAGUGUUAAAUUAUUCUUAUGGAUGAGCUAAAAUAGGAGUAUGUUCAAAAUUUAAUAUCUGAAGAGCAUUUAUUGUAAACAACAGUCCCAUUUCUGUGGCAAAUAGAGCCUUAACCAGCCCUUCUUGAAAGAAGUUCCACAAGUUCUUUGACAAUAGGAAGCAAGCCAGAAUGGUGAACAGCUAUGCCUCUCUAAAGCAAUGGCAACAUUUUUUCAAUAGCAUGUAAGCAUCCAUCCUCCCCAUUUAAGGAAAGGAUUGCAUUUUUGAACGCUUGAUUCACAACGUCCUUUUUGUUGGUAAUUUUACGCCAAUUCCCUUUAUUUCUAUUUACCCGCAAGAUCUUUUGUUGUUUAAGAAAAUAUUAGCAAACAGAAAAAAAUAAAAAAUAUAACGCAUAAAUCAAACGGAAUGUCGAAGUUUUUCACUAUAUGAAAAAUUGUUACAAUCAUAUAGAAUUUUACUUACCAACCCAAUCCCCAAGCAUUACAAAGAAAAAAAUAAACUUGAAAUUUACCACACCUACUUUUCUACCCAAUAUACGAAAACUCUCAAGAUGCUAGGCUCACAAUAUUUUCCUCUCAGAUAAACUCUCUAGCCACACUCAAAAUAAUGAAAUAGAUCCACUAUUUAUAGGAUCAAUAAUCAAGUAGAAGAGAUUAAUUUUAGCUCAAACAAGACUCUUUUAACUCAAUAAGGAUUCCUUCAUGUGUAAGACUCCAAAACCGGCUGUAUAUUGGAAACCAAAUUCUGCAAGGAUUUUACUCUCAACUUUAAUUAGAAGUCUUCUAUACAAUAACUACAUUUUUAUUAUCUGCAAUAGAAGUCCUCUACCUUUUGGCUUUUGAACCAAUUACCCAAACCAAGGAUUGAUCUGGGAUAAAGAAAAAGGGUUCAGGCUAUGAAGAAGGGCUAAAGAUUUUAAAUUAAGUUUGCCUUUUCGAGGGUUGAAGUUUAUAUUUCGUGCUAAGAAAGGUCCCCCGGGUAUUUCUAAGGAUGGACGUCAUACCAACCAUUCCCAUAUAGGCUUAUCGGGGUAGAUGCUUCUCACAUUCAUCACGCGUCCAUCUAGGUCGUUGAUUGUGUACAAACAAAAUACGAGUCUAAUCUCCACCUUGCCAAAAGCGAGUCCAAACCUUUUACUAUAUAGCCAAAAUUGACUGUUUAUUGGAGACCAAAUUCUGCAAGGAUUCUACUUUCAACUUUAAUUAGAAGUCUUCUAUACAGUAACUACAUUUUAUUAUUUACAAUAGAAGUCCUUCAACUUUUGACUUUUGAGCCAAUUCCCAACAAUUUCCACCUUGUCGAAAAUGAGUCAAAAUCUUAAUCAUCUCUUCUACAACUUUUAAUCACAAUACUUGGAAAAACAAGUAAGCAUUUGAUACACUUUAACGGUCUCAUACUCCACCAUAUGAGUAUAACCACUCAGAAAUAUCAGCAAACUCCGAGCAUUUCAUCGGCUACAUGUCAAAACAACCCUACUUAUAGUUAUGUUCACUGACUUUUCCAGAGAGCUCAUCAGCCAUCGACAUCACAAUACCACCACAUACCUAUACACCUUGCAUAGACACCUUACAUCAAAUUUCAGUCAAUGCUAUGUACAGAUAUGCUGACCCGUGCCAGUAAUAACACAUUCUUUAUCAUGGCAACUUGCAACAUGCCAUGAGAAUGUUCUCAUCUUACUUUACAGCACGACAUCUGCAUCCUCCUCCUUUGUGAGAGAUACAUUGUUCAAAUCCAAGCAGUUAACCGACCCUAUUCCACCUUUUGGACAAUUUCUUUUCACAUGGCUAGUCUGACCAGAGUUCCAACAAGUUACCUUCUUCCUCAUAGAGUUACUCUUCUUCCCUUUUUCAGUCACAAGCACCGCAUUGUCAGAUGGAGUAUUCUAUCCCCGCUAAUCUUCUUUCUUCUGAGAUAAAGUUGCUUAUCACUUCUAAAACUCAUAGUUUCUUUCCCAUACAUUAAGAUUGGCUUGAUAUGUUCAUAGUAGAUAGAAGAGACCAGAUGAGCCGUAGUGUCGUAUCCUCAUCAUCUAUUUUCACUCCAAUAGCCUCCAGUUCUGAAACAAUCCCAUUCUAAACGCUUUGACGAUCUGAGAUUUUCAUACUUGACUCCAUGUGCAAUGAAUGAAAUUGCUCCUUCAGAUACAACCGAUUUAAGAGGCUUUUCGUUUGAUAUAGUUCUUCUAGCUUCUCCCACAGUUCAUUUGCAGCAGAUAUUCCAUGAAUAUUCGCAAGAAUAUUUUUAGCCAAACAAAGACGUAUCAUGCUUGUGGCCUUCAAAUCCAAUUCUUCCCAAUCCCCAUUGCUCAUACUGGAUUCAGCUUCCUUGCUAGAACUCUUGGUUAGUUUUUCUUUCAAAGCCUUGUAUAGUCCCGCUUAAAUUAAUAAAUUCCUAACCUGUAUUUCCCACAAGCCAAAAUUAAUUCUCCCGUCAAAUAUCUCCACGUCAUAUUUCAAUGACGACAUAUUUUUUUGUUACUCCAACACUCCGAACCACCUGACGCUCCGAUACCACUUCUUGGGAAUUUUAAACCAAUUCCCUUUAUUUCUAUUUACCCGAAGGAUCUUUUGUUGUUCACGAGAAUAUUAGCAAACAGGAAAAAUAAAAAAAUAUAACGCACAAAUUAAACGGACAGUCAAAGUUUUUCACUAUAUGAAAAAUUAUUACAAUUAUAUAGAAUUUCACUCAUCAACCCAAUCCUCAAAUAUUACAAAGAAAAAAUAAAUACGAGCUUUACCACACCUACUUUCUACCCAAUGUACGAAAACUCUCAAGAUGCUAGGCUCACAAUAUUUUCUUCUCAGAUCAACUCUCUGGCCAUACUCAAAAUAAUGAAAUACAUCUACUAUUUAUAGGUUCAAUAACUAAGUAGGAGAGUUUAAUUUAAACUCAAACAAGACUCAUUUAACUCAAUAAGGAUUCCUUCAUGUACAAAACUCCAAAACCAACUAUAUAUUGGAGACCAAGUUCUGCAAGGAUUCUGCUCUCAACUUUAAUUAGAAGUCUUCUAAACAAUAACUACCUUUUAUUAUUUGUAAUAGAAGUUCUCCGGCUUUUGACUUUUGAGGCAAUUGCCCAACACUUCUCCACUUAAGUAUUAAAAUCAAGUUUAGACAUUGACAUGGCAUGUUCUUGGCACUCUCUUCUACUAAAACUAAAUAUUAUUACCGGUUGGAAUUCACGCUUCAUAAUUAUCUGAAGUUCGACAAUUUUUCAAUUUGGCACUAUGAAACUGAUGUAGUUGAAUGGUUGGAAUGAAGAUGAAGUAAAAAAGGAAAAAAGUAAUAGUAAAGGGAAACAUCCGAAUUUUAGAAUAGGCCCAUAAGAUCAUUUCGGAAAGAGGACCAUGAGAUGAGUAACACUGCCAGUAUGCCGUGAUAUACGAUGGAUUUCAACCAUUUGAGUUUGUUUAGGACUCGAAAACUGAUUUUUAAUGUUUUGGCGCUAUUUCUGUCAUUCAGUUUAUUUUGGAUUUUUUUCGAUUUUAGUUUGUUUAAACUUUGUUUUCAUUCAUUUUAGUUCUUUUAAACUACAUUUCCAUGUUUAGAAACAAGAGGGCUAUUUCAUUGUUUUUAUCAUCAUUCAAUAAUAAAAUUCAUGGUUUUAUUUUUUUCAUAAUCUGGUGGACUCCAAAUUUUGUUUUCUUAAAGUUUUCGCUUGAAUUCCAUGUUUCGCACUACGUCAAAAACAAUGCAAUUUUUGCACCGACAUCUUCUAAGAAGCAAAGAAUGUAUAAGAGAGAACAUUGAAGGACAAAGUAAAUUAGCCACCAAUAAAGAUGACUAAAAAUUAACACAUUCAAAGGUGAAAUAACUUAUUAGUAGAUGAUAUUUUGAAAAUGUAGAUAUACCUAGACUACCAGUAGAAAUAAAAUGGAAAGUGACAGGUCGAUAUCUAACUUAACGAUUUUAUAUAUGUCAAAACCACUAGAAGCGAUCCCACCUUUCACAAUUCUCGCUCGGCUAUUUCCAUUCCUGUUGCCAUCAGCCAAAUUUUGUUAACGAAAGUGUCUAUAAAUUUCAAACAAUUACUCUCCCUGAGCUGUUCAUUCUCAUCAACAACAAGAUACAGACAAGAGCCUCCAACGGGAAAACAUAUUUGCAGGGGUGUAGGCUAGAGACUGUUUGUGUAUAUUACAUAUACAUUCUGUAAAUUCUGAUGUGGUUGAGAUUCAUGGUUUCGCUUAACCGUCGCGAAAUUAAUUUCUUCACAAGCCAAUUAACAAGUUACUCAUUUACAAUGUUAGACCCGAUUUUUCAAUUUCAGUUAAUUACCUCUCUUGAGUGAAAUUAACCCUAAUCAAUUUGUUUAACUUACUAUAUCUCUAUGUCGUUCAAACCAAACUAUCGCAUUAAAUCAUUGUGAAAAUAGCUCAAAUGGUCACCUAGGGUUAGCUAUCCUAUACACAAACCUAGGGUUUUACUAUUUGGUCUAAAAUGUAUAAUAUUCUCUCAAACGAUAUACAAGUCACUAAACACAAUCUUCAUUGGCCACAUAAAUGAAAAUGCAAUAAUAACAAUAGUAAAAAUACAUGAAAAUAAUUAACUAAACAUUAAAGAGCAAAUAUUAAAAUUAAUUAAAAGCUAAGUUAAGUUACUACCAUAGAUCCCAACAAAAAUAUUUAGCCAAUGUUAAAUAUAUGAUAAAAAAGAGAAUGUUUUAGACAAUACAUAGCCAAUAGAAGAUAAUAGUGAAGAAAAUACAAGAUUCAAGAUACAACCACUUUCCUUGGCGUUUUGAAGAUGUUAAAGGCUUGAAUUUGAUUUUCCCAAAAUCUCUCUACCUCCUUUUCCUUGAAUGUGUACUUUCUUUGUGCUCUUGAUUCCACUUCCAAAAUGCCAAGAAAAAUGAAAAGAAAAGGAGGAAAAACAAAAAGAGAAGAAAGAAAGAUAAAGAUAAAGAAAGAAAAGUAAAAGAAAAAUGAAAGAGGAAAAAGACCUAGCCAAAGAAAAAGCCUAGAAAAUGACCAACAAACCGAUAUUUAAAUGGCUAAAAUCACUUCAAGUGAAAUUGUGGAAGAAGUCCUGAAAUUUACGCAAAACAAGAAAAAUUUGCCUAGCCGAAAAGCGACUCGCGUGUGCCGUGAGACCAUUUUGGUCUCAGCAAAUCACCAAUGGCUUUCCGCGCACACACCAUAGUAAGCCUGCAUGCAAGCGUGGGAUUUCUUCAUUUCUUUUUCCAACUUUAUCCUCCAUUUAAUCACACACAAGGCCCCUCAACUUUGAUCAUGUACAAUUUGGUACUCAAAUUUUGACUUUUCUUUCAAUCACGCCCUUCCAAUAUUGCAACCUUAGGUCCCCAACUUCACAUUUUUGCGCGCUUUUCGUCCUUUUUUCACUCCCUUUUGGCUUAUUCUCUUUCGUUGGGUGAUUUUUAGCCUACAAAAGCAAAUGUUACCUAAUUGUAAGAAGAAUUGCAUUCAUUUCAUCAAUAAUAAACAUAUUUAGAUAUUAAAUAAGUAUGUAUAAACACUUAUCAUCAUUACCAAACAACUUGUGUUGGGAGAAAUUGUACAUCACCUGUCAUCAACCCUACAUUAGAAAACUCCUAGCCCAACUCUCUAUACUUCUGAUUGCUCAAAGCUUUUAAUGGAGAAGUACAUAGAACCUUCUGCUUACCUCUAAAGGCCAUGGCAAUCGCAUAUUCGGCCACGACAAUUUUUCAAGCAGAAGUAUGUGUCAAAACCCAAACUGACUUAUUUCAUUCCUAAUAUGCUACAGAAAUUUCUUGAAAUGGAUCGAGCUUGAAUGGAUAAGUUUUUGCCCUUUUCCUAUUAAAAAUAGGAUCUGAAAGAGACACAUGAACUGAUUAAUCCUUACUUGCAGAAUACCUACUCGGAACUACUACCUCAUGCGCCCAUAUCCAUGAUAAAUUAUGCUUCCUUAAUAAGGAUUCUUGAACGGGAGCUUCUUCCUUGCCCUCCGAAUUCUCUUUUGGUCGUUUCCUUUUCAUGUAAAUGCAGGUGAGGUGCUUGUGUGCAAGUACGAUGUCCUAUAUAUAUAUAGAUGUGUGUGUGUGUCAUCUAUGCGACUCAAUAAUUCAACAUAAUUAUACUUGCAAAUAAAAAGAGACUUUCUUUUGGGUCUAUAUAUUCACAUGACACCAUGAGCAGGGGCCGAGGCACCCGUUGCCCCUACUUGAUUUUGGCCCUGGACAUCUCACUAAUUACAUUUCUAAAGGUGAGAAGAAUACCAGAAACAACCACAUUAAAAAUUCAAAAAAGUUUGCAUAAGGAAGAAUGCCAUCAAGAAACAAAUUUCGAAACAGAACUAUAAAUAAAAGUAACGCGUUAGAAGCCUAAUUGGUAAAAAGCAAAUAAAUUGCAUAUUAUAAUUUCCAAAAAAUUUUUUAAAAAAAAUUGAUAUCUUCAGAAAUUACAAGAAGUCUAUGACGUAACACAAAUUGGAGUCGAGAGAGAUUUUUGCCUAGGUUCCUUCACAAUAACCGCCAUAGUUGUGUGUGCUAUCCUUUGCUCCGCCAAUCCGUCCUUUGUUAAAGUUAGAAAUACCCAUGCACACAACUACACACUAGUACACUGUGGCAUAUGAUGGAUUUCAGGCAUUCAAGUUCGUUUAGGACUCGAAAUUGACUUUUAAUAUUUUGGCGCUAUUUUUGUCAUUUACUUUAUUUUGCACUUUUAUUCGAUUUCAGUUGGUUUAAACUUCGUUUUCGCUAAUUUUAGUUAUUUUAAACUAUGUUUCCAUGUAAACCCUUUCUUAUAAAUAAGGGGUUAUUUCGUUGUUUUCAUCAUCAUUCAAUAAUAGAAUUCGUGGUUUUAUUUUUUUCAUAAUUUAGAGGAUUCCAAAUUCUAUUUUCUAAAUUUUCUUGCUUCAAUUCUUUGUUUCGUGCUGAAUUUUUUCACCGACACUUUUUAAGAAGCAAAAAAAAGUAUAAAAGUGAACACUAAAGGACAAAGUAAAUUAGUUACCAAUGAAGAUGACUACAAAUUAACACAUUCAAAGGUGAAAUAACCUAUCAGUGCAUGAUAUUUUAUAAAUGCAGAUAUACAUAGACUACCCAUAGAUAUAAGAUGGAAAGUGAUAGGUCGAUAUCCACCUUAACGAUUUUGUAUAUGUCAGAACCACUAGAAGCGAUACCACCUUUCGCAAAUCUCGUUCUGCUAUUUCCACCCUUGUUGUCAUCAUCCAGACUUUGCUUAACCAAAGUGUCCUGAAGUUUUAAAAAUCUACCUUCCUUGAACUAUUCAUUCUCAUCAACAAGAUACAACCCAGAGCCUCCAAUGGGAAAAACAUAAUGUUGUAGGAGUGUAGGCCAAAAAUUUGUAUAAACCUCGUGACAUGGUUGUUUGUGUAUAUUACAUAUCCAUUCUUCAAAUUCUGUAGCAUUCAACAUUGUUACUGAAAGGAAGACGAGACAUCUUUUUCUCUAUUACAACAGAAAUUAUUGAAUUAUCAAUAUAAUGUUAUUGAGCAAUUAUUAAGGCCCCAAUUUCAUGUGAGUUUAUGAAUCAUAUGAGCAAAUAUGUGACUUAACAAUCCUUAAUGCUCUAUUUCGAUCAUGUGAAAAUAAUGAUGGCGGUUGAUUUUCAAGCUCCACACCUACUUCAUUGAAAAAAAAAGCCUAGCUAGCGAGGCAUUCCUCCCGCAAUAGGGUUUCAAACCUCGCCUCGCUCUUUUAACAUGCUAUGUUCCCCUUUCUUUUUCUUGAGCCCAACAUCUUCUUUCAUUAAAUUUGUUAUUAAAAAUGAAACAAAUUAUACAUAUACCUAAUAAUACUUCAAUAAUGAAAUUAAGAGAAAUUUGCACUAGAGGUACCUAACAUUCUAAUCUUAGUACAUACGUUACAAAACGUUGUCAAAAUUUGAUGUGGUGAUUUUCAAGAAAUCCAAGGGGAUUCUUCAACUGGUGGUAAUGAUGACAUAGAUGUGUAUGCGAUGGUAAAGGUAGCAGUAGGUAGGAAUGGGGUGAUGGUUGUGGUAGCAUGGUUUUAGGUAGAGUAGAGGUGAUGGUAAGGUUGUUUACUCAAGGGGAAAACUACUCAGGAAACAACUACUAUCAUGGAUUCAAUAAUCAGGCGUCUGAGCGACAGACAUCACUGAAAGAUAUUUUGGGAACCUUCAUUUCGGAGAUCAGAUCAAGGUUCAAAAAAGAUGAGGCACGACUUGACAACAUUGAGACUCAUAUUACCAGCAUGGGGGCCACGGUAAAGAAUUUAGAGGUACACAUUGGUCAUAUAAUAACUGCAAUAUAGUUCCAACAGAAAAGAAAAUUCUCUAGUGACAUAGAGGUUAUCCCAAAGGAACACCGCAAUGCUAUCAUCCUAAGAAGUGGUAGAAAUUUUGAAGAGGGCAAGCGAAAGAGGUUGUGGUGCCUAUACCAAAUCCCAUAUUUGUGGAGAAAAAGCUAGUUCAAUAGCAGAUAACUGAGAUAGAGGCAGUAAAAGAGGCUCAUAAGCCUUAAUUAAUCUCAUUCCCAAAUAAUCCACCCAUCUUGCAAAACACGACUUCCAUUCUCGUAGAGAUUUAUUAAGAAGAAAAUUGAAAAGCAAAGUUCUUGGCACUCUUCGAGAAAAUCCAUAUCAACAUACCAUUUGCAGAUGCUUUGGCCCAAAUGCCUAACUAUGCUAAGUUGCUGAAGGAAGUAAUGUCAAAUAAGAGAAAACUGGAGAAAUUCGAGACAGUAAAGCUAACAAAGGAAUUUAGUGCAGUCUUCCGGGAAGCUUUACAAUUCUAUGCACGAAUGGAAAUCUACCAUUGACAACUCUUUGUGUGACUUGGAAGCUAGCAUCAAUCUAAUACCCAUUUCUUUGUUCAAAAAGUUGGGUCUUGGAGUGGUGAAGUCAACCACCAUCUCGUUACAACUAACCAAUAGAUCUUACUUACCCAUGAGGGAUUAUUGAAGAUGUAUUGGUAAAGGUCGAUAAGUUCAUCUUUCUUGUAGAUUUUGUGGUGUUGGACAUGAAAGAGGAUGAAAAGUUACCAUUAAUUCUUGGCCGACCUUUCCUGGCUACUGGAAAAGCAUUAAUUGAUGUACAAGAAGAAAAUUGUCACUACAAGUUAAUGAAGAAUAAGUAAAUUUCAACAUCUAUCGACAAAGGAUACCCUGAAAAAAGUCAACACAUGCUAUAUGAUCCAAUCAAUUAAUUCAAUGAUGGGUGAGAAAAACAAGAAAGAGUUAUUCUAUAAUCCUUUAGUACAGCACAUGGCAACCAGUUAUUCAUCAAGGAAUACAUCUAAUACUGGUAAAUACUUAGGAACCAAAGAGGUGGCUGUCUUACAAUUGGCUCAUUAUGCUUAUCCACCUGACAAAGUGGAGAGCUAUGUGGAAGUGCUUUUGAAACCUCCAUACAUUGCCAAAUCAAAUGAGGGUUUGAAAGCUUAAUUGAAGUUGAAGUUGCAUCACAAUCCUGCUGGUCAUGCUAUAUUGAAGAUGAAUACAAGACCAAGGAUAAAGUUUGGAAACAUCAGAGAAGUGCUACAUAAAGAUCCAACAUAGACACUUUGGUUAAGUCAAGCUAAUGACGUUAAAGAAGCGCUUCUUGGGAGGCAACCCAAACUUUAUUCCCUUUCAUUUAUUCUAUUUUUAAGUUAUAGGAUUUAAUUUAUUUUACAUUUCAUUUAGGAAUCAUCAUCAAUAUCACGUCUCUCCUUAGAUCCUUAAAUAAUUAAGUUGAUUAUUAGAUAAUUGAAUUAAGUAACCCUUGUUCCAUGUAUUUAAUAUCUAAAUUUGAUUUUUCAGGAACAGAAGGAAUGGAGUCAGGCUCGGUUCCUUUCUUCCCUGGCCCGCUAGCUCAUGCGUUUUUCACAUUGCGAAACACUCAAACAAACAUUGAUAAGGAGAAAAAUGGAUAAAUCUCAAGUUUGGGAGAGAACAUGGAAGAAGCAUCCAUCAAAUCCAGCAUCACAAGCACCAAACGUCAUGGGCAAUGCAGACAAUACAGGGAAGUUCUUCUCCUUUUUCUUUAAUUUCAUAUUGGAGACAAUAUUUAGUUUAAGCUUGGGAGUGAAAUAUAAAUUGCCUUUUUUUUGUGCGAUUUGUGUGCAUUUAAAUAAAUAAUUGUUUUGCAUGUUCGUGUGAGUUAAAUAGUCUUGCCGAUAUUAAUGUAUAUAAUUGAGAACAUGUGUUGGUUUAUGAAUUGUGCAUAAGUGAUGUGCUUUAGUUAAAUUUUUUGCUUAUUCAUUUGGAACGUAAAAUAUCUAUGCAUGUGAGUUGAUUGUAAGUUGUACAUUAAUAUGUUGAUUCAUGUUUAUAGGUUGAAAUACAGAAGUUAGACUGUAACACCCCCAAAUCGAGAUUCCUCUAUCUGUAUGUAUUAUAACUUCAUUCUAUUUUUAAAAUCAUAAAUGCGAGAAACGAAUAAAUUUUUCUUUGGCAUAAUAAAUACCAAUUACUUAUUUUAAAAUAAAAUGGAAUGAGCUAAUGCUCAAUAAGUAAACUUCAUGCAUAUGAUGUAUGAUUAUGAUAUGCACAUGAAUUAUUUUAAAGUAAAAACAUUUUUGAAUAUAUAUCCCCUUCAUUUCAUUUCUUUGAAAACUCAACAUUGACGCUGUGAACUCACUUGGUUUACGCCUAGCCAAUCAGAAUGCAGUGGAUAAUUAUUAUUUAGAACCCGGUCGAGUCCUACUAGUAAUAUCAUAAAGUGGUUAACAUUAACAUAACAUUAUCGUUUCACAUUAACACUGGUCGUGUGCGCUGAUAGGAUUCAAAUGUAUGAGCUCUUGUUAAGAUUAUUGAAAGCUUGAGCAUUAUGACACUUGUUGAUUUUUAUUUUUUUUAACAAUAUAAUGCAUGUUUCAUCAUUUUAAAAUUUAGUUAAAUGGUAACAUAUACAAAAUUCAUUUUAUUUCAUAAAAUAAUUCAAUAAAAUUCAUCUUAUUUCAUAAAAUAAUUAAUUAAAUAUCAAUUACUUUUCGACUUGUCACAUACACACAUAAGUCUCUGGUCGAAAUAAAAUCAUAUCUUUAAUAUCUAAGUCCUAGUAAGAAAGUAACAAGUUCGAAAGAUCUUGUAAAUUAAUAAAGAUCUUAUUCUAAAACAAUUCAAAAUUGAAUAUAACUUAAUAACAAAAAUGCAUAAUUUUUUUUAAAAUAUGAAAAAGGAAUUCAUAAUUAUUUAUUUAUUUUCUAUAUUAAAAAAAUUGUUUGGUAGAAAAUCAGCAUGUACCAAUGACAAACUUUUUUUUUCCUUGUCGUCAUUGGAAGUUAUUGUCUUAAACAUAGAACUAUAAAACCAAUUAAUUGUGGCCUAUGUAAUAUUAUUAAAUAAUUAAUUAAAAGUGGUUAAUAUUACUAAAAGGGAAAAUUUCAUAAAUGAGGUGUAUUGUUUGCACCAAUUCAUAAAUGAGAUAAACAGUUUAAAAAUUCAAAAUUCAGGUGUCUAUAUAAUUAAUUGAAAAUAUUUAUUAGUCAAAUAUAAGGAAGUCACAAUUACUCGAUUAAUUAUCACAGAUUCAUAAUUACAGGUCAUAGAUUUAUUUUUUGAUCACAUAUCAUCAAAUUAAUUUGUCACAAAUUAUUUCGAGAUCACAAAUCAAAAAUUUUGUAUGUCAUAAAUUAUUUCGAAGUCGCGGAUAAAAAAUUUACAGGUCACGGAUUAUUUCAAAGUGAAAUUAAUUGGUCACAUGUUGUCAAAUUUUAGGGUCACACUUAAACAGUUGGUCAUAUAUAACUAAAUAGUUAGUCACAUACGCCAAUUUCUUGAUCACAAACAAUCAAAACACUUGUGACCCCCACCAGCCACAUCGCCAACAAAACUCCCACUGCCAAAACCACCACCACCAUCUCCCGGCAGCACUGUCAUCUCAAACGCCGCAACUAACACCACCUCCCCGCCAACAAAACAUAUACAAAGUCAACUCUCCACAAAAGCCAUCACUGCAACAUCGUCACCACUUUACCGUCUCCGCCGCCACCACAACCACCGUUUCCUACUAGUACCUAGUCACGGCCAACCUUGUAAUCUCAAACACCACAAAUAGCAUCGCCUAACCAUCUCCACCCUCGUUGCGGCCUUCAAGUCCACCCCCUCGCCGCCACCAAAUCCAGAUGCUGCACUUCCAAAGCAGUUUCUAGUACAUUGUGUUGAGAGAUUCCACACAGAGAUGCGAGACGAGUAUUUUGGAGGAUAUGACAAGAGGAGUACAGAAUAGUAGGCAGGCGAGUAAAAAAAUAGCUAAAAGAUUGGAAUAAAAAAUCGCCCUCUCAUUUCGCCACCAUCGCCACCCGUCAACCACAAUAGUCGCCGCCAGUUCACCACCAAAUCCACCACAUUCAAAACUAAACCAGAUUCGUCGUAACACCUGAGCUACGACUGCAGGGGCUGCCAUCACAUUGUCACCACCGCUGUAACACGAGAUCUGAAACUACUACAGCGCCGUCGAAGAAUGACAUCACACCACCAUCCAACAAAAAGAAAAAAUUCAACACUCUACCACUACAUAUAAUCGCUGCCUACUACCACUUCCAUCUCCACCACAUCACAACCACCAUCCAACAAAAAAAACCCAAACAUGUCACCUCCAUCGCCGUCGACACCACCAGAUCUACACAAGCAAAAUCAGUCACACUGGCAGAAGCAACAUCAACCACGACUGCGACACUGUCUCACCGAGUGUUGCAGAGGUAUCAUUGUCUUCAUCGAACGGAGAGCUUGUGGUGGUCUCCAUUGAUGAGAAAGAGAGAGAGAGAGGUGAGGAAGAAAAUGAGAUACACAGAGAGGGAGAGGAUAGGAAGGGUAAUUUUAAUUUCUUAUUUAAUACCUAAUUUGUGCUUAACUAAACCUUAUACCAGAAAUUUGUAUCAUUAAACACAUGUAUUUGUGUAAUUUUCCCUUACUAAAAUCCUAUUGGCCCAAUUUAGAAGCGGUUGUUUUAUAACUGUCCAUUUUGAUGGGAAAGUGGGCAGUUUUAUGGUCCAUAAGAAACUGUCUCUCUCUGCCUAUAAACGUGAAUAAAAUAUAUCUAUUAAUUCAUUCAAUUACAAAGAAGAAAAGUAAGAGAACGGUUUCUUUAAUUUAACAAUUUCUUUUUUGUAGAUUUAAAUUUCUCAAAUAUUGCCAUAAAUCAAGGUAUCUUUCUUGAUCAAUUAACUUAUAUGUGAAAAUCAUGAAAUUUAAAGAUCUUGGUAUAAGGGUUUAAUUGUUUGCAUGUGGUAUUAGAGCCAAGUUGAAGAAUUCUUGAUUUUCCUUUAAAGAUUACAGUUUUCCGCUUAUCGUUUUUAUUUUUAUUUCUAUUUUUCUGAUUGAUUUAUAAAUCAAGUGGUAGAGAGAUAAUUCAUCUGUGAAAUUAUUAUUAUUUCUUUUUGUGGUUGAAGACAAUAAAUCAUGGAUAAACGGAUUUAUUUAUCAAAAAUUUCUUUAUUGCCUUGGUAUAUAUGAUUAUGUACCAACCCAUUGACUUUCACAUAAUUCAUCAAUCUACUUUGUUUUUAAUGUUUCUGUUUAUUGUAAAUUCCUUACAUCUUUAAAGAAAUUUAUUUUUCUUGGAUAUUGUGCCAACCGUUGACCAAAAGCAUUAAGGCCCUAUUUGAGCCCCAUUAUUUCCUUAUUAAAAUGAAAAAUAUGACCAUUUUCAUUAUAUCAAGUUAUCAUAUUUGAUUUUUUAUCUCUUGUGCGGGGCCGAUAACGGCUAUAUUUUUCAUUCUCAUUUUUACAAUAAUGUGGCUCAAACAGGGGCUAAGUGAUUGAAUGGUUGGAAAAUUUUAGUUUAUUUCAUGUAUAGAACACAGCAUUAUUUUUAUUCCUUAAGCCAAAAUUUUAGACUUUCAAGAAAAUGGUCAAAAACUUGAAGACAUUAACUUAGUCAUACAGAUUAACUCUCUGAAUUUUGGAAUAUAUGUGCUAUGGUAAUCAAAGUUACACUCAGACAUUGACCUCAAUUUUCAAAACUAAUAUAUAUUUUGCCGUUAUGCUAAUAGUCAAAGGAUGGGUUUUUUAUGCAUUAAUGUUAGAUCAUUUUAUAUUUUGCAGUAUCUAUUCCCGUUUCUCUACAUUUGUAUGCUUCAUCUAUGCCAAUGUUCAAUGGGCUCAUUUCUCUAACCAGUGUGAACAAGUCCAGUUCAAUUUAGGUGUUUUGGACUUGGACAUGGCACUUCAAGUUGAGAAAUGAACUGAUCUUACUGAUGAGAGUAAUGCUAAUGAAAGGUCCUUCCAUAAGGCUAAUUGAGCCUAAUGUUUAUGCGGAUGACCUUAGCAAAAAAUAUCAAGUCUACCAUCCCUAAAACUGAGAUUGCUAAGGAAUAUAUGAAGUUUGUGGAAGAAUGUUCCCAAACAGUUGACAAGUCACUUGCUGGCACACUGAUGGGUACCUUAACCACCAUGAAAUUUGAUAGUUCUCAUACCAUACAUGAGCAUGUUACUGAAAUGUGUAACAUUGCAAUAAGACUUAAGACUGUUGGGAUAACUGUGGAUGAGAACUUUCUGGUACAGUUUAUCAUCAACUUCUUGCCUCCCGAGUAUGGUCCAUUCCAUAUGAACUAUAAUACACUAAAGGAUAAAUGGAAUGUGAAUGAGUUGCACAGUAUGCUUGUGCCAGAGGAGACGAGGUUUAAGAAUCAAGGAAUUCAUUCUGUUCAUCCCAUAAGUCAUCAAGGAAUUGGAAAGAAAUAUAAGAAAAGAUCUGAAAAGGGCAUUAAGCAAGGACCACUGAAUAUAAAUGAGUCUUCUGCCCAAAUUCAUAAUAAGGAACACAAGGAAGAUACGUGUCAUUUAUGUCACAAACCUAAGCACCAUAAAAAGGACUACCUGAAAGGUAAGGCAUGGUUCGAAAGUAAAGGUGAGAUUAUUUCUUAUGUAUGCUUCGAAUCUAAUUUGGCAGAAAUUCCUUAUAAUACUUAGUGGAUUGAUUCCGGAUGUAUCACUCGUGUUACUAUAUGAUGCAAGGAUUCCUUUCAACCUAGACCAUAAAUCCAAAUGAAAAGUUUGUCCUCAUGAGAUAUCGAGUCAAAGCUCCAUUUAAAGCCAUUGGAACUUAUCAUUUGAUUUUAGAUACUGGACAUCAUUUAGAUGUAUUUCAACUAGUGUGGAUUAUAUCAAACCAAAGACAAAAAGAAAUGAGCCACAAGAAGUAUACAGUUUCUUGAGAUAAUUGUUCCAUCAUUUGGUGGAGAAAAGUAUUUAAUCACUUUUAUUGAUGACUUUUCAUGUUAAGUCUAUCUGCUAUAUGAAAAGUCUCAAACUGUAAAUGCUUUAGAGAUAUUUGUUAAUGAAGUUGAACGGUAACUAGAUAGAAAGGUGAAAAUUAUUAGAUCUGAUAGGAGUGGCGAAUAUUAUGGAAAGUAUAAUGAAACUUGUCAAUUCCCUGGUCCAUUUGCUAAAUUUAUUGAAAGACAAGGCAUAUGUUAUCAAUAAACCAUGCUUCACAACAAAAUGGUGUAGCUGAAAGGUGUAAUCGUACUCUAAUAGAAAUGGUUAGGUGCAUGUUAAGCAAUUUGUCUUUGCCCAUUUCUUUGUAGAUGUUUUCAUUGUAAACUAUUGUGUAUCUACAAAACAGGUUUCUAGUCAGGUAGUUUCAAAGACUUCUUUUGAACUGUCGACGAGAAGGAAACCCAGUUCAAGGCAGCUGCCUGUUUAGAGUUGCUCGGUAGAAGCAAGAAUUUAUAAUCCAUAUGAAAAGAAAUUGGACUCAAGAACAAUCAGUGGAUUUUUUAUUGGUUAUCCAAAAAAAUCAAAGGAGUAUAGAUUUUAUUGUCCUAACCAUAGUACUAAAAUUGUUUAAAAUGGAAAUGCUACGUUCAUUGAGAAUUGUGAAGUUAGUGGGAGUUUGGAACCACGAAAUGUGGAAAUACAAGAAGUUAAAGUUCAGCUUCUUCUAAUGUUGUUGUUCGUCAAAUUGUUGAACAGCAUGACAAUUUACCUGAACAACAAAUAAAUGAUCAAAUACCCACAGUGAAGUUACUAUUGAUGGAACUAUACUAAAUGAACCAUGAGAAAUAGUAUUAAGAAGGUUACAAAGACAAUGUAGACCUGCUAUUUCCGACAAUUAUGUGCCAAGAGUCUGAAUUUGACUUAGGAAUUGUUGAUAAUGAUCCAGUUACAUUCUCAUAGGGCAUUGAGAGUGCUAAUUCUGAUAAGUGGUUAGAUGCUAUGAAAGAUGAGUUGAAAUCUAUGGAGCAUAAUGAAGUCUGGGAUCUUGUUGAAUUACCUAAAUCAUGUAAAAGAGUCGAGUGUAAAUGGGUCUUUCAGACCAAGCAUGACUCUAAUGGUAAUAUAGAAUGAUAUAAGGCUAGACUUGUUGUCAAAGGUUUUACUCAAAAAUGUGGCAUUAAUCAUAAAGAAACAUUUUCGCCAGUCUAUAAGAAAGACUCACUCAAAAUUAUAAUAAUUUUAGUAGUUCAUUAUGAGUUAGAGUUACAUUGAAUGGAUGUGAAAAUCGCCUUUCUAAAUGAAGAUUUAGAUGAAGAAAUUUAUAUGGAUCUACCUAAAGGUUUUUCAGUUGAAGGAAAGGAACACGUGGUGUUUAAAUUAAAGAAAUCAAUAUACGGACUUAAACAAGCUUCCUAUCAAUGGUAUCUUAAUUUCAAUGGUACCAUUACUUUCUUUGGAUUUAAGGAAAACAUUGUUGAUCGAUGUAUAUAUCUAAAGGUCAGUGGGAGCAAGUUUAUAUUUUUUAUUCCAUAAAUUGAUGACAUCUUGCUAGCUACUAAUGAUCUUAGUCUAUUAUACGAGACUAAGAAAUUUCUCUCUAAAAAUUUUGAAAUGAAAAAUUUGGGAUAGGCAACCUAUGUGAUUGGAAUUGAAGUAUUAUGUGAUAGGUCACAAGGAUUAUUAGGAUUGUCUCAGAAGACAUACAUCAAUAAAAUUUUAGGAGAUUUAAUAUGAAAAAUUGUCCAACGAGUGUCGUUCCAAUUCAGAAAGGAGACAAAUUUAGUCUCAUGUAACGUCCUAAAAACAAAUUGGAAUGCAAACAAAUGACAACUAUUCCUUAUACAUCUUUUGCUGGGAGUUUAAUGUAUGCUCAAACUUGUAACAGACCAGACAUCAGUUUUGCUGUACAAAUGCUGGUAGGUAUCAAAGUAACCAAGGACUUUAUCAUUGAAAAUCUGCAAAGAAAGUAUUGAGAUCCUUGCAAGGAACGAAAGAUCACAUCUCAUUUAUAGGAGAUAUAAUGACUUGGAGAUCACUGCGAAUUCAGAUUCGGACUUUGCUAGAUGUGUAGAUGCUAGAAAGUCCAUAUUUGACUAUCUAUUCAUCUUGGCUGGAGGAGCUAUAUCAUGGAAAAGUGCAAAACAAUCGGUCAUUGAUGCAUCUACUAAGGAAGCUGAGUUUGUGGCAUGCUUUGAGGCACAGUUCAAAGAAAUUGGCUGUGGAACUUUAUUUUAGGGCUUGGAAUCGUCGACGGUAUAGCCAAGCCGCGACACUUUAUCUUGAUAAUUCUACAGCAAUCUUCUUUUGAAAGAAUGACAAGUACUCUAAUGGUGCUAAACAUAUGGAAUUGAAGCACUUUGUUGUUAAAGAAGAAGUUCAAAAACAAAGGAUAUCAAUCCAGCAUAUUAUCACCGAUCUUAUGAUUGCAAAUCCAUUACCAAAAGGAUCGUCACCAAAGACAUUUAAUGAACAUGUCGAGAGAAUGGGCAUUAUUAAAAAUUAUCAUUGACAUCAUUAUAUAAUUUAUGAUGCUUAUGUAUUGACACUUUGAGCUCAUUUAUGUAUUAUUUUUUACAAAAUAUUAUUCUUGUCAUAACUGUUGGUACAUGUACAUGAAUGGAUUAUGUGAAUACUGACAAUGAUAGUCUUUUCGAAGACAUUAUUGUAAUGCAAUUAUCGAACUUCCCAUUAUAUGUCAUGUUAGGUAGGGACUAAUAUUAUAUUAUAUGGAAGGAAUUUAUGUCAAAAUGAUGGUGUAAAAUCACCAUGACUCUUAUUAGUUUUUACUUAAGGAUAAUAUAUUAAGUGGCCAAUGUAUGAGGGAUUUGCUUAUGAUAUGCGUAUUAUGUUAUAAAUCACAUAACGAAGCAAUAUUACACAGGCCAAGUGGGAGAAUGUAAAACCAAUUAAUUGUGGCCCAUGUAAUAUUAUAAAUAAUUAAUUAAAAGUGGUUAAUAUUACUAAAUCCUAUUGGCCCAAUUGAGAAAUGGCAGUUUUAUAAUUGUCCACUUUGAUAAAAAAGUUGGUAGUUUUAUGGCCUAUAAGAAACUGCCUAUAAAUGUGAAUGAAACCCAUCAAUUAAUUCAUUCAAUUACAAAUAGGAAAAGUGAGAGAAUAGUUUCUUUUUUGAAGAUUUAAAUGUCUCAAUUAUUCCAAUGGAUCAAGAUUUGUUCUUGAUCAAUUAACUUAUAUGUGAAAAUCAUGAAAUUUAAAAAUCUCAGUAUUAGGGUUUAAUUGUUUACAAGGACUAUAAAUAUGAAAUAAUACAAACACAAUUAUAAUUAAAUUGUUACUUUAGGAAUAAAUCACCAUAAUAUCAUAAAGGACAAUGUAAUUGAAUUUAAGAUGUUACACGAAUGCAUCACAUCUAAAUGCAACAUUCAGCUAUAUUAGGAUCUGAUCAAUGACACAUCUCUCUCUUUCUCUAACGCAUAAAAUCAGGAACACAUUUAAAAAUAAAUAUUGAUAUUUUCGAAUAGUUGAAGCUUGUUCAAUUAUUUAAAAAUCUUUAGUACCUCUACAAAGAAGUCGACGUCUUUAUCACCAAGUCAAUUAAACCAAAUAACUCUUAUCCAACAAUUGUUAAGCUUUUAUAGUUGUAACCCUAGGAAUAGAGUGUUUGAUGUUUCUUCCCCACAAAGCCGAAAAUAUUGGUCAAACUCGGAAUUCAAAUGACAAAUUUAUUUAUUUUUAGUUAAUGUAAACAUGUUACAUCAAAAUCUAGUCCAUCUUAUCAAAUCACAAACAUCCAACACUAUAAGAUUCGGCAAUAAUUAUCUCUCAUCUAUGAUUAUCGAAGAAUCUAUUUAUCCAUGAAUCAAGUUCAUUACAACUUUGAAUGGCAUGGACACAAUAAUUGUGAAUCUAUUAACAAUCAUCAAUUUCGAAAACUAAAUUCAAUCUUACUAGACGAAUGUGAAAUGACGUCUUGUGGCAUGACUUCGUACUCCAUAUAUUUUUUUCUUUUUUGGAAUAAAAAAAAAUUCAAUCUACAGAAUCGAUUCUAAAACCAUGGGCUCUAAUACCAAACUGUAACACCUCCAAAUCUAGAAAUCUAGAUCUGGAGUAUUAUAACUCUGUGCUCUUUUCAAAAUCAUAAAUGCGGAAAACGAAUAAAUUUUUCUUUGACAUAAUAAAUACCAAUUACUUAUUAUUUUAAAAUAAUUUGCUAAAUCAAAUUUUAACUUUAAUUACAAAAAAAAAUUGACAUUUAAAUAUGACAGUACCGAGUCCAUGUCACCACAAGUAGUCACCUCACAUCAUCUUGCCUUCGUCAUCUAAAAUUGGGGAGAAAUAAAGUGGAAUGAGCUAACGCUCGAUAAGCAAACCUCAUGCAUAUGAUGUAUGAUUAUGAUGUGCACAUGAAUUAUUUUAAAGUAAAAGCAUCUCCAAAUAUAUAUAUCCCCUCCAUUUCAUUUCUUUAAAAACUUAGCAUUAACAUCGUGAGCUUACUUGGUGUAUCACAUAGCCAAUUAGAAUGCAGUGAGCAAUUAUUGUUCGAAACAUGGUCGAGUCCUACCGACAGUACUGCAAAGUGGUUAACAUUAUCAUUGAACAUUAAACAUUGGUCGAGUGCGUCAAUCCCCACGCCCCAUUUCUCACUCAUGCCUUUCAUGGCAUAAACAUACACCUCGUAAUAAAACAUUUGGGAUACAUAUCUUUAAAAACAUUUUAUUAACUCAUUGACAUUUAAAAACUUUCUUUUCUUGAAAAUUCAUGUAUGCUUAUGGAUGAAUUGAUGUGCAUGAAUAUGUCAUGAAAAGCAUUAAUGAGAAAAGCAUUAAUGACAUAAAACAUAGUAAUUAAAUAUCAAGUUCACAUAAUAACAAAUUUAGAUAACACAUUCAUAAAUUUAAUGAUGAAACAUGCGCAUGAAGACAAUGGGAGUUUUACUUACCUUGAAUCCUAGCAAUAUACUUUUCAAAUGAUAAGGGGAGAUGUUCCUAACCAUCCACAAAGUGAAAGUGCCAAAAUCUUAGUUCAUUACCAUUUAUUUAGAAACUUCAAUAAAACUCACUCUUUCAGUAUGAACUCAUAACCUUACUCUAUUAAAUUAAUUAAUUUAUUAUUAUCGUUGGAAAGCCCUAUUUGUAAAUAAAAGUUUUAAGAUUAAGAAGAUAAGAAUAUAUGUGUGUGUGUGUGUGUCAUAUAUAUACACAAAGAUUUCUGAAACUAUCUUCAAGAUAAGAGACUCCUCAAAUUUGAAAAUUCACUAUCAUCCGUUCUAGAGUCAAAUCUAGAAAAUGGUCCAAUUUAUUUAAAUUGUUAUCCCAAUUUUUCAAUCAAUCUUCAUGAUGAAGCUUCUCUUAAUGCUCUAAAUCUUCAUAUUCAAACCAAAAAUCUCGAUUUCGAUGAUCGUUCAAAUGCUUUUGCUGUAAUAUAUAAGAUAUAUUACAAGCUCAUGAAUACUCAACUCAAUAUUGGUGCUUUACGUUCAUCUCCUAAAGAUGAAAGUCUUUUGGUUGAAUGUAAUUAUUUUCAUUCAAACACCAUGAUUCCCAAGAGAAUUUCUUGGAAUCUUCAAACUCGUGGACUAGAAUGAAAUUUUGAAAAUGUUCAAAACCAUAUUCCUGCUCCUGUUCAAAUAAUUCCAAAUUAAAUUCUUACUUUUCCUGAUGAAAACGCCAAAAUGACUUUCAAAGGAUCUUCCUCUAGGUUUCAAAGAUCUUAUUCUUCUAGAUCUAAAUAUAAACCUAGAAUUUCUUAUCAAUCAACUAGAUUUUCAACAUCUUCUCUUUUAGGUAUUGAUUUCACUUCAAAUAUUCCAAAACCUCAAUAUUCUGAAAAAGAAGCAGAAAAAGAAGAAGAAUCAAAACAACCUGAAUCUCCAACUUUUUUUGACAUGUUUUUUCAAAUUGAAAGACUUGAUCAUGAAACAAAUGUUAUUUCUUCAAGUAUUGAUAGAAGAAAUGAAUUCAAAACUGAUCAAACUCCUGAUAUUAAAGUUUUUCAAAAAAUAUUUCGUCAAAGUUUUUCAAAAGAAGAACGAGAAUUUUAUUGGGAAGAAUUUUAUGAAUUCCCUGGAGAUUUAAGUUUUUAUAAAUGAGCAUAUUUCAAAAUUCUCAACGAAAACCCUACUUUUUCAAAGAAUGAAAAAGUUUCUUCAAAAUCAAAGAAAGAAAAAAGUAUUCAAACAACUAAUAUUCCACAGAAGACUUGGAAAACUCCUUCUGGUGAGAAUAUUCAACCUUCUCAUCCUCGUUUGCAAGAGAUUGUAAUUCCACAUGGAAGUACUGAAGUUCUUGCUUCUCCUUUCAAAAAGAUAUAUGAAGAACGACCUGAGAAAUCUCAAGUUGUUGUUAAAGAUAUCGAAAAUAUUCAAGUUCAAAAUAACUACACUAACGUAGUUCUUCAACCUGUCUGUUCUCAGUUUAACAGAAUUGAAAUAAAUUCUGAACCUGAGACGUCGUCCUCCUCAAAAAGUAUUAAGCCAAUAGAGUCAGUUUUAAUUAAUAGGCAUAAGGCUAAACCUAAUAAUGGUCUCAAAAUUGAGAUUAAUGUUCUGAAAGAACUUGCAACUCAGUUAUCAAAAAUAUCAUCAUCCUCUACUUCAAAUAACAUCAAUAUCAUUGAUGAUAUUGAAUCUCAAUUUAUUGAUAAUGAAGUUCCUCAAAUCAAUAAACUUCAAGGCAAAAAAAAAAAAAAUCAAUUUUCAAAAGUUCCUCCUUAUUAUCUAAAAAAUAUUUCUCCAGAUUUACUUUUCGAGGAAAAGGCGAAAAUUCCUACAACAUUUUCUGGUACAGGUAUAACUUUCUGGAAUAUAGAAGGGUUAACUGAAUAUCAAAUUUUUGAAAUUCUUGAAAGAAUGGGUGCUUGUUAUAACGCCCAUAUUCAAGAAGGAAUUUCUAUAAUUUAGUCAACACAUAAUAUUAUUCAAGGUUUUGCUGGUCAAUUAAAUAAUUGAUGGUUUAAUUAUAUUUCGGACCAAGAGAAAAAUCAAAUAGCUCAAGCUCUUAAACCUGAUGGUUCAAGUGAUAGUUUCAAUACAUUAAUUUAUUGUAUUGUCAAACAUUUUAUUGGAUCUCCAACAUAUGUUUUAGAAAAAGUUUCAAGUAUUUUGUUAACUCUAAGUUGUUCAAGUUUACAAAAUUUUCAUUGGUAUAAAGACAUAUUUUUAACACAUGUAUUUUUGCGAAAAGGUUGUAAUCAAGCUUAUUGGAAAUAAAAUAUUUUAUCUGGACUUCCAAAAUUAUUUUCUGAAAAAGUCAAAAAUUCUAUCAAAAAUGAAUAUUCAAAUAAUAUUCCAUAUGGUGAUCUUUCGUAUGGAGAAUUGAUUUGUUUCAUUAACAUAGAAGGAUUAGAACUCUGUAAUGAACUCAAACUUAAAUCCAAAUUGCAAACAGAAAGAUUAGAUAAUCACAAAGAACUUGGAUCAUUCUAUGAGCAAUAGGGAUUUGAAAAAGUUAUUCCUCCAUAAAAAACAAAAUCGAAAAAUUUUUCAAAAAGAUAAGCUUAUACAAAAGAAAAAUAUUUUCAAAAACCUUCUUAUUCAAAAAAUUAUUCUAAAAAUAAUUUUCAAAAGAAAAAAUUUUCAAGAAAAAAUAAUGUUACUUGUUGGAAAUGUCAAAAAUCUGGGUUCUCUCAAAAGCAAGAUUAACAAUCUUCAAAUUGAUGAAGCUAUUAAGCUUCAACUUUUCAAUCUUAUUGAUUCAAAAUCCAGUUCUAAUAAUGAGUCUAACUUAGAAUUAGAACAUGUUUAUCAACAACAAGAAGAUUCAAAAGCUGAAUCUAUUUCAAAUUCUCAAUCUUAUUCAAGUCACAGUAAAGAACUUUGUGAUUGUAAAACCAUAAAUGUUUUUACUAAACAAGAAGAACUUAUUGAAGAGAUUGUUGAUCUAAUUGAUGAUCCACAACUCAAAAAUAAGUUUAAUUUCCUUCUUCCUUCAAAUUCAAAAGCUGAACCUUUCAAUAUGAAAAAUGUUUUAAAUCGUUUUGAAACUUCAAAAUCUUCCAGUCUUGAUUUAAAAUCAGAAGUCAAUUCCAUGAAAUCUCAAAUUUUUAUUCUUGAACGUCAAAUGAAAGAUGUUAGAAUGGAAGUUUCCCUGCUAAAAACUAAAGAAGUUAAAGUCAAAGACUCCUUAUUCAUCCUCUUUCAGUUCUUCUGGUGAAGAAUUCAAUUCUCUCAUUCCUUCAAAUAUUCAAUCUGAAGAAGAAAUGAUUAAUAUUGUUGAUCAUGUUCAACUUCAAAAAUGGUACUGUAAUAUGACUAUUGUAGUCAACAAAGAAUUCAAAUUUACUUCUAGAGUCUUUAUAGAUUUUGGAGCUGAUCAAAAUUGUAUCCGUGAAACAUUGAUACUUACAAAAUAUUUUGAAAAAAACUACUGAGUGUCUUUAUGGUGCUAGUUGUAAAAAACUCAAUAUUCAAUAUAAAUUUUCAAAAAGCUCAUGUUUGUAAUUUAAAUAUUUGUUUCAAAAAUAUUUUUAAUCUUGUAAAAGAUUUAGAUCAAGAAGAAAUUAUUGGUACUCCUUUUAUUGUUCAAAUUUAUCUUUUUCAAGUUACUUCAAAAGGUUUAACUACAAAUAUUUUUUAUCAAGAAAUUUGUUUUAAAUUUACAAAUCCUCCUUCUUAUAAAGAUGUUAUUUUUUAAAAGAAGCGUCAAUUUCAAAAAUAUUUAAUAAUAUCAAUUUUAAGAAAAAUCAUAUUAGAUUUCUCAAAGAAGAAAUGAAAUUUUAAAGAAUUGAAGAACAAUUACAAAAUCCUUCAAUUCAAGAAAAAAUUUCAAAUCUUCAAAAAUAAAUGGAAUAAGGGAUUUGUUCUACUAUUCUAAAUGCUUUUUGGAAUUGUAAGAAACAUGUGAUAUCUCUUACAUACAAUUCUGAUUUUCAUGAACCAAAUAUUCCUACAAAAUCUCGUCGAAUUCAAAUGAACAAAGAAUUAUUAGACUUUUGUAUCAAGAAAAUCAAUGAUUUACUUGAAAAAUGUUUAAUUUAUCCGAGCAAAUCUCCUUGGAGCUGCUCAGCUUUCUAUGUCAAUAAUUCGACGAAAAUUGAACGAGGUGCUCCACAUCUUGUUAUCAAUUAUAAGCCUCUUAAUACUGCUCUUCAAUGGAUUCGUUAUCCAUUUCCUCAAAAGAAGGAUCUUUUGAAUAGAUUAUUCAAAGUUGUUAUCUUCUCAAAUUUGAUAUGAAGUCAGGUUUCUGGCAGAUUCAAAUUAAAGAAGAAGAUAAGUACAAAAUUGCAUUCAAUGUUCCUUUUGGCCAUUACGAAUGGAAUGUUAUACCAUUUGGUCUCAAAAAUGCUCCUUCUGAAUUUCAAAAAAUAAUAAAUGAUAUUUUCAAUCCGUUUUCAAAUUUUAUCAUUGUUUACAUUGAUGAUGUUCUCAUAUUCUCUAAAAGUAUAGAAUAACAUUGCAAACACAUCAAUACAUUCAUGCAUGUUAUAAAGAAAAAUGGUUUAGCAGUUUCUGCUAAAAAUAUUGUUUUAUGUCAAAUAAAGAUAAGAUUUUUAGGUCAUAAUAUCCAAAAUGGUUCAAUUAUUUCAAUUCAGAGAAGUCAAGAUUUUACUAAAAAUUUUCCUCAAGAAAUUUUAGACAAAUCUUCUCUUCAAAGAUUCCUUGAUCACUUCAAUUAUGUAGGCAACUUUAUCAAAGAAAUAAGGUUGAUUUGUACCCUUCUUUUCAAAAGAUUGCAAAAGAACCCAAACCCCAUGGAGUCAUGAGUGCACAUUAGCCGUCCAAAAAGUCAAAAAAGCUGUAAAAAAAACAUUCCAUGCUUAUCAAUUCUUAACCCUACUACUUGAAUUAUUGUUGAAACUGAUGCCUCUGAUUUAAGCUUUGGUGGUGUGUUAAAGCAAAUUUUAAAAGAGUCAAGUCAAGAACAAUUGGUUAGAUUUCAUAGUAGUGUAUGAACUGACCCUCAAAAGAAUUAUUCUACUAUCAAAAAAGAAAUUUUAUCAAUAUUAUUAUGUAUUUCAAAAUUUCAAGAUGAUUUAAUCAAUAAAGAAUUUAUUCUCAAAACUAAUUGCAAAGUAUCAAAAGAUGUUGUACAAAAAGAUUUGAAAAAUCUUGUUUUAAAGCAAAUCUUUGCUAGAUGGCAAGUUAUUUUAUCUUGUUUUGAUUUCAAAAUACUAUAUAUACAGGGAAAAUCAAACUACUUGGCAGACUUUCUCAUAAGAGAAUUUAUUCAAUCUUGAAAUAUUAGCUUGAUGAUCAAGUCUUUCAUUUUGAGAAAACAUAUUAGAAAAAGUUGGGGAUUGAGGUUGUCUAGAUUCUUCUUCUUUUUCUGUUUCUUUUUCUGUAUAUUGAGGUUUUGGAAUAUUUGGAGUAAAAUCAACACCUGAAAGAGAAGAUGUUGAAAAUCUAGCUGAUUGAUAGGAAGUUCUAGGUUUAUCUUCAGAUCUAGAAAAAUAAGAUCUUUGAAACCCACAGGAAGAUCCUUCGAAAGUCAUUUUGACGUUUCCAUCAGGAAAAGUAAGAAUUUGAGUUGGAAUUGUUUGAACGGGAGCAGGACUAGGAUUUUAAACAUUUUCAAAAUUUCUUUCUAGUCCACGAGUCUGAAGAUUCUAAGAAAUUCUCUUGGGAAUCAUGAUGUUUGAAUGAAAAGGAUUACAUUCAACCAAAAGACUUUCAUCUUUAGUAGAUGAAUGUAAAGUACCAAUAUUGAGUUGAGUAUUCAUGAGCUUAUAAUAUAUUCUGUAUAUUACAACAAAAGCAUUUGAACGAUCAUCGAAAUCAAGAUUUUUGGUUUGAAUAUGGAGAUUUAGAGCAUUAAGAAUAGCUCCAUCAUGAGGAUUGAUUGAAAAUUUGGGAUAGCAAUUUGAAUAAAUUGGACCACUUUCUAGAUUUGACUUUAGAACGGAUAAUAAUGGAUUUUCGAAUUUGAGGAGUCUCUUAUCUCGAAGAGUUAAGAGAAUUGGAAUGUCUAACCCAAGUCUAAACUAAGGUUUGACAGUAAUAUGAACUAAUCCAACAUGAAGAUAUUUAAAUUUCAUCAUGUGGGAUUCAACUGAGUCUUUUGAAAAUAAAUUGAUAUGAGCAUUUUGAUUUUUAAUUGAUAAUGUUUGUUCAAAAGUUUUGAUAACAUAAUUUUGAGUAAAAUCAAAUUUUCCAAUUUCAUAGAUAGAAUUCUUUUCUACUUUUGGAAUUGUCCAGUUAUACAAUCUUUGUUCAAUUUGAGCAAUUUGAAGUUCAUUAAUAUUGAAAUCAUUUGAUGCAUAUAAUGCAGAAGAUUAAUCAAUUUCUUCUUCAUUUUGAAAAACAUAUUUUCAGAUCUAUUUCUAGACCUCUGAAAGCAAUUUGAAAAAGAGGACAUAAUUAAAUUCAAUGAAAUUAUAACAAUUUACCACAAUUAAAACAGUUAAAUAAAAUAGAUUGAUUCUUAUCAAGAAACGGGACCACCCUGACACGCCUUCCCUGGGUAACAACGGGCUAACAAACGUCUAUUCAGUAGACAUCUCGGAAUCAAAUCAGGUUCUCCUAUUUGAACAAUGCCUAUAGUGAUAAACUACUACAACCUCAUAUCACUCUCUUAUGGCUCUGAAACCAAAAUGGGCCUAGGAAGGGAAGAGUAGAAGUUCCAUAAACAAAUAUUUUAAAAAUGAAGAUAAUUUUAUUGAUAUAUGAGAAUUGAAAUACAAAUAUUGAAAUGAACUUUGAAUUACACGAUUGAAGAUAAAGAUUGAAAAAUAAAGAUAGUAAAAGAAUACAAAGAUUUUUCAAACAAUUUUGAGAAAUAUUUAUCUCCAGCUAUAUCAACUCUCUUUUGAGAACUACUCUCAAUUAGCUCUAAGGAGAUCUUGAAUACUUGAUCUGCUUUUAUACUUGAAAUCUUGAGUUUCGGACUUGAAAUUUUCUUUAAUUUGGAAAAUGAAUCUUAAAUAAUUGCACCUUUUGAAACUUUUGCACCAUCGAUUUGCAAAAGUUUAAUCAGUCACAGGAAAAGUUUUCAUAGAAUCUUUUCUUUGUCUCCCAUUUUGAAAAGUUGACAUCAACUUUAGUCAUAACUUUUGACUAAAUCUCCUUGAUUGAUCUUCGCCUUUUGAAUUAUCUUAACACUUUUUGAAAGAUACCACCAUUUACUUUAAUUUUGUCUUCGCAGACUAAAACUCAAGCAAAUUAUUGAGAUUGAAUAAUUCUUCAUCAGCGUAAUCAAAGUUGGGUCCUUGAAAAGGUUCUUCAUUGCAUUGGUAAAAAUCAUCAAAACAAUCUUGAGACAUUGAUAAUUCAUCAUCGAAUAUUUUCCUAAUUAAAGGAAUUUGAGUUUGAGUCCAUUUUUCUUCAUUAGUAAAAAUGGCAUAAUGUUCAUCAUGAAACAUUAAUUGCAAUCUUGAAUUGUCAAUAUUUGCUUCGAGCUUUUUCUUUGUAGCAAAAAUAUAUUUUGAUCUGAUUUUUGUAAGAAUUUCUCUUACAUGAUUUUUGAAUAUGAUUUCUUUGUCUUCACAACAAUAUAUUUUUUAAGAGAUAUUUGAAUAUGGCAUUGGAAGAAACUCGACAAAGUACUCCAGAUAGUAACAAUUUGUUUGGUUGGAAAAAACUCUUCAGAAAAAAGAGUAUCAUUGAAUUUGACUUCUUCUACAAUCCAUUUAGGAAGAAUGAUUGAGAAUUCAAUUUUGAGAGUUUUAACUUUAAAUUCAAAAAGAUGAUUAAUAACUCUUUGAAGAAAGCUAUUAAAAAGAGAAAUAUCUGUUUUUGAAUCAAUAUAUAUUGAGAAAAUAAAUCCCCAUUCGAUCAUUUGAUGGAUUUCUUCAUUAAUGACAUUAAUGAUUGAAAUACCUUUGAGAGUAAAAUGAAGUUUGUGAUAACUUUCACAGGUUGCAAAGCUAUCGAAAUAAAAGUUAUCGAAUAUUCUGAAAAUAAUAUUUUUGAAAGUUUGAGCACAAGUAGGAUCUUUAUUGAUAAUAUUUUAAUAAAUAUCAUCAGGAAGUUGUGAGACUUUCUUCAUAAGAUUUCUUCUAUUCCUUUUUAAUAGAAAUAUAUGUUGAAAAGAACAUUCCUUUGAAGGAGGUUUAAGAACAAAUCUUUCAUUAUUCUGAGAGUUUUUCUGAAAUUUUUUUAUUAUUUUGUUAUUACUGUCAAAAAUUUCAGUAAUAAUUUUGAGACAUCUCAUAAUAUCUUUAUUACUUCUUUGAUUAUAAGUAGUAAGAAUAUCAUCAAGAUUAUCCUUUUGAAAUUUGAUAAGUCUUGUAUGAGUUUUGAACUCAUAAGAUUUUGAUUCAGUUCCUAAAUAGGAAUCUGAUUGAGAAAAUUUACCUUUACUCAAAGAAUUUGAUUUUUUGAUUGAGAAAUGUCUAUAUCAUGAGAAAAUUUUGUUUUCAAAGGAUUUUAAAGAAGAUCCUGAAACAAUAUCUAAAUAAUUUUUUGUAUUCAUCUUUCUUUCCAUAAUAUUCUUUUCUAGAGAUAAUCUGUACAAGAUAAUUUAAUUUUCUUUGAAUAAAUAGUGUUUGAGAUAAAGAUAAAACAAAAAGUCUUGUAAUAAAAGUUUUUGUUUUGAAAUACGUGAAGCUUUGGAAAAAUUGAAAGAUUCUUUAGAGGACCAAGUUUUGUUAAUAAUUAAAGCAGUAGGAUCAAGAAUAGAUAAACAUGGAAUAUUUUUUUACAGCUUUUUUGAUUUUUUGGACAACUAAUGUGCACUUGUGACUCCAUAGGUCUGGGUUCUUUUGUAAUUUUUUGAAAAGAGUGGCACAAAUCAAUCUUAUCUCUGUGAUAAAGUAGCUGACGUAAUUGACGCAACCGAAGAAUCUUUGAAUAAAAGAUUUGUCUAAGAUUUCAUCAUGAAAAUUUUUCGUAAAAUCUAGACUUCUUUGAGUUGGAAUAAUUGAACCAUUUUGAAUAUUAUGACCUAAAAAUCUUAUCUUCGUUUGACACAAAACAGUCUUUUUAGUAGAAACUGUUAAACCAUUUUUCUUGAUAAAAUACACGACUGUAUUGAUAUGUUUGAAAUGUUGUUCUGCACUUUCAGAAAAUAUGAGAACUUCAUCAAUAUAAACAAUGAUAAAAUUUGAAAAUGGAUUUAAAAUAUCAUUCAUGAUUUUUUGAAUUCAGAAGUAACAUUUUUUAGACCAAAUGACAUAACAUUUCAUUCGUAUUGAUUGAAAGGAACAUUGAAUGCAGUUUUGUACUCAUCUUCUUCUUUAAUUUGAAUCUGCCAGAAACUUGACUUCAUAUCAAAUUUUGAGAACAUAACAGCUUUUGAAUAAUUUAUUCAAAAGAUCUUUCUUUUGAAGAAGUGGAUAUCGAAUCCAUUGAAGAGCAAUAUUGAGAGGCAUAUAAUUGAUAACAAGACGCCGAGCACCUCGUUCAAUUUCAGCCGAAUUAUUGACAUAGAAAGUUCAGGAACUCCAAGGAAAUUUGUUCGGACGAAUUAAAUCUUUGUCAAAUAAAUCACUGAUUUCAUUGAUACAAAAGUCUAAAAAAAAUUUGUUCAUUUGAAUAGGACGAGAUUUUGUAGGAAUAUUUGAUUCACAAAAAUCAGAAUUGUAUGGAAGAGAUACCACAUGUUUCUUACAUGUUUUUUACGAUCCCAAAAAGUAUUCUCUUUUUCCAUUUGGUUUUGAAGAUUUGAAAUUUCUUUUUGAAUUGAAAGAUUUUGUAAUUGUUCUUCAAUUCUUUGAAAUUUAAUUUCUUUUUUGAGAAAUCUAAUAUGAUUUUUCUUAAAAUUGAUAUUAUUAACUAUGUUUGAAAUUGACGCUUCUUUUAAAGAAUUAACUUCUUUAUAAAAAUGAGGAUUUGUAAAUUGAAAACAAAUUUCUUGAUAAAAAAUACUUGUAGUUAAACAUUUUGAAGUAGUUUGAAAAUGAUAAAUUUGAACAAUAAAAGGAGUACCAAGAAUUACUUCUUGAUCUAAAUCUUUUACAAGAUAAAAAAUAUUUUUGAAACAAAUAUUUGAAUUACAAAUAUGAGCUUUUAAAAGUUUGUAUUGAAUAUUGAAUUUUUUACCACUAGCACCAUAAAAACGCUCAAUAAUGUUUUCAAAAUAUCUUGUAAGUAUCAAUUCUUCACGGAUACAAUUUUGAUCAGCUCCAAAAUCUAUAAGAACUCUAGAAGUAAAUUUGAAUUAUUUGUUGACUACAAUAGUCCUAUUGCAAUACCAUUUUUGAAGUUGAACACGAUUAAUAACAUUAAUCAUUUCUUCUUCGGGUUAAAUAUUUGAAGGAAUGAAAGAACUGAAUUCUUCACCAAAAAAACUUGAAGAGGAAGAAUAAGAAGUCUUUGACUUUAACUUCUUAUCGUUAGUUUUAAGAAGAGAAACUUCCAUUCUAACAUCUUUCAUUUGACGUUCAAAAAUAGAAAUUUGAUAUUUCAUGGAAUUGACUUCUGAUUUUAAAUUAGAACUGGAAGAUUUUGAAGUUUCAAAACGAUUAAAAACAUUUUUCAUAUUGAAAGGUUCGGCUUUUGAAUUUGAAGGAAGAAAUGAAUUAAGCUUAUUUUUUAUUUUUGGAUCAUCAAUUAGAUCAACAAUCUCUUUAAUAUGUUCUUCUUGUUUAGUAAGAACAUUUAUAGUCUUACAACCACAAAGUUCUUUACUUUAACUUGAAGAAAAUUGAGAAUUUGAACUAAAUUCAGGAUCUGAACCUUCUUGAUGUUGAUAAACAUGUUCUAACUCUGAGUUAGACUCAUUAUCAGAACUUGAAUUUGAAUCAAUAAGAUUGAGGAAUUGAAGCUUAAUAUCUUCAUCAAUUUGAAGAUUAUUAAUCUUGCCUUUGAGAGGACACUUAUGAAAAUAAUGCCCAGAUUUCUGAUGUUUCCAACAAGUAACAUUGUUUUUUCUUGAAAAUCUUUUCUUUUGAAAUUUCUUUUUAGAAUAAUUUUUUGAAUAAGAAGGUUUUCGAAAAUAUUUUUCUUUUGAAUAAACUUUUCUUUUUUAAAAAUUUUUUGAUUUUGUUUUUAAUGGAGGAAUAAGUUUCUCAAAUUCAUAUUGUUCGCAGAAUGAUCCAAGCUCUUUAUGACUGUCCAAUCUUUUUGUUUGCAAUUUGGAUUUAAGUUUGAGUUCAUUACAGAGUGUCAAUCCUUCUCUGUUAAUGAAACAAAUCAAUUCUCCAUAUAAAAGAUCACCAUAUGGAAUACUAUUUGAAUAUUCCUUUUUGAUAGAAUUUUUGACUGUUUCGGAAAAUAAUUUUGGAAGUCCAGAUAAAAAUCUUUCUUUCCAAUAAACUUGAUUACAAUCUUUUCAUAAAAAUACACGUGUUAAAAACAUGUCUUUAUACCAACGAAAAUCUUGUGAACUUGAACAACUUAGGGUAAACAAAAUACUUGAAACUUUUUCUAAAACAUCUAUUGGAGAUCCAAUAAAAUGUUUGACAAUACAAUAAAUUAAUGUAUUGAAACUAUCACUUGAACCAUCAGGUUUAAGAGCUUGAGCUAUUUGAUUUUUUCUUGGUCAGAAAUAUAAUUGAACCACCAAUUACUUGAUUGACCAACAAAACCUUGAAUAAUAUUAUGUGUUAACUCAAUUGGAGAAAAUCCUUCUUGAAUAUGGGCGUUAUAACAAGCACCCAUUCUUUCAAGAAUUUCAAAAAUUUGAUAUUCUGUUAAACCAUCUAUAUUCCAGAUAGUUAUACCUAUACCAAAAAAUGUUGUAAGAAUUUUUGUCUUUUGUUUGAAAAGUAAAUCUGGAGGAGUAUUUUUUGGAUAAUAAGGAGGAACCUCUAAAUUGAGUUUUUUUGCCUUGAAAUUUAUUGAUUUGAGGAAUUUCAUUAUCAAUAAAUUGAGAUUCAAUAUCGUCAAUAGUAUUGAUGUUAUUUGAAGUAGAUGAUGAUAUUUUUGAUAACUGAAUUGCAAGUUCUUUCAGAACAUUAAUAUCAAUUUUGAGACUAUUUUUAGGUUUAGCUUCAUGCCUGUUAAUUAAAACAGGCUCUAUUGGCUUAAUACCUUUCGAGAAAGAGGAUGUCUCAGGCUCAGAAUUUAUUUCAAUUCUAUUAAGCUGAGAAUAGACAGAUUGAAGAAUAUGUUAGUGUAGUUAUUUUGAACUUAAAUAUUUUUUAUAUCUUUAACAACAACGUGAGAUUUCAAGGUAGUUCUUCAGAUAUCUUUUUGAAAGAAAAAGCAAGAACUUCAGUAUUUCCGUGUGAAACUACAAUCUCACGCAAAGAAGGAUGAGAAUAUUGAAUAUCCUCACCAGAAGGAGUUUUCCAAGUCUUCCGUAGAAUAUUGGUAGUUGAAUAGAUUUUUCUUUCUUUGAUUUUGAAGUAACUUUUUCAUUAUUUGAAAAAGUAGGUUUUUCGUUGAAAACUUUGAAAUAUGUCCAUUCAUAAAAACUUAAAUCUUCAGGGAAUUCAUAAAAUUCUUCCCAAUAAGAUUUUCGCUCUUUUUUUGAAAAACUUUGACGAAAUAUUUUUCGAAAAGUUUUAACAACAGGAGUUUGAUCAGUUUAAAAUUCAUUUCUUCUAUCGAUCCUAGAAGAAAUAACAUUAGUUUGAUGAUCAAGUCUUUCAUUUUGAGAAAACACAUCAGAAAAAGUUGGAGAUUCAAGUUGUUCUGAUUCGUCUUCUUUUUCUGUAUAUUGAGGUUUUGGAAUAUUUGUAUUUCAAUUCUCAUAUAUCAAUAAAAUUAUAUAUAUACAAAAAAUCUGAAAAGGCCACAUAGUUCAAUUUUUCCGCCAAGAGUCAAUAUAGAAUUAAAAACAUAGGUUAACCAAUAGAUUAUAUUAUGAAUAAAUUAUGAACCAUACCUUAUUGCAAGAGUGUCCCAAAAGGAGAAAUUGAAAUUAAACUUUUGGCAAGGAAAAGUGUUUCUACUUAAUUUAAAAUAUGUGAGAUAAGGCAACUAUAUAUACUCCUAAACCUAAUGGCGUUUAUUUAGUUUAAUUUGUACUAAUCAAACAAAUUAUGCCUCCUUACUUAUUUAUAUUAACUUAUUUUAACCUUAAAUUGAUCAUAUUAGCAAAUUAAUUCAAUUAUUAACUAUACAUCAUUAUUAUUUUUAUUUAUUUAUUUAUAAAAAAGAAAUCUUUCAACUUGAUGUCUAGGUUCAAUCUAAAAACGAGAUUGUACGUAAUAGGAUAAAUACGUUAUAUAAUUUAAUCUAACUAACUAAAAUUAAUUAUAGACAUUACAAUUAAGUUAUUGGGGAUGUGAUACGUCUUGGUGUCCAAUUAUAUUAAAUUGCAACUUUAAAUAGAAUUAUACGUAUUUUAAGUUUGGAGCUACUAGGCAUGUCAACCGUAUAGAGUGUCCAAGGCACAUUCCACUGUAUCAAAAUAAUUAAUCACGACCAUGAUAAUUAUAUAUGCAGUUGAUUCAGAUAAACACAAUAAUCACAGGAAAUAAGCAUGUGGCGUUACAUGGAUGCUAAAUCCAAACAAGCAUUAAACAUUAUUAUCUCCUUAAACCAAAUCUAGAAUGUUUGAGUGAUUGAGUUGUUGCAAGGAGACAUGGAUGUAAAUGUGGAUUCCAUGUGUGCUAAAUUUUGCAUGGGCUAUCUGAAAUCAAUAGGAUGAAAAUUGGGUGAAAAUCUUAAGUUAAAGUUCGAUUUUCAAGAAUGAGUAUUUAAUAAUGGGUAUUGCACUAAUCACUGCAAAAAGAAAAUCCCAAUGAGAAUAAUUAUAAUAAUCUCGUUGUGAAACGUCUUUUCGUAGACUUUAUGACUAAGUGAAUAAACCUGCAAGGGUUUAAAGCUUGGUGCCCUAAAGUCGUCUACUUUGGAAGUCAACGACUUAAAUUUAGAAAAUUUAAUGGAGAAAUAUCUACACAUACGAUUCAUUAAAAACAUACAUAUAUCUGAAAAAGUAAGUACAAAAAAAUAAAAAAGAAGAAGAUGCACCACAUGUCUUGAUUGAACCCCCAAACACUUGUUUUAAAGGAUUAGGCUUUAGCAAAGGAUUUGUAACUUGGUUGAUUUUUAGAGGUUGAAGCAGUUAAAAAUAAAGAGAACCCUCAUCUGUUAAUAUGUUGCACUGUAAUUAGUAAAGUUCAACAAAACUUGAGUGGUGUAAGAAGUUAAUAUUAAAAAUCAACUUUAGAAUACACGAAGAGAAGUGAAAAAAAAGUUUGGGGAUCUGCAAAUCCCACAAGCAAAGUAAAUAUUUGACUUUUAAAGUUAGGAAUUGGAUCAAUUUAUUAUUGUAUAGUGUUGCACUUGGUUCUCCACACACACACGCGCAUUUUGCAUUGAAUAUGUGAAAAUUUAGCUUGUGCAUUAUAACCUUAAAAUGAUUCAUGAAAUUGAUGUUAUGUUUUCAACCUGAGCUAUGAAGGCAAUAAAUUUAGCAGAAUUUGUUUAAAUUGAUUCUGUUUGUAUUUAUUUAUUUAGUUUGUCAGUGAUUUUCUUUAGUUUGAAGUUUGCGCGAGAACAAGUAAAAUAUUAAGCUUGGGGUUAUUUGAUAAGUGCUCCACACUCAUGAUAUUUAUGCCACUUAUUCAUUUUUUUUGUUAUCAUUGAGAGUGUUUUAGAAAGUUAUAAUGUGCAUUUUGAUGUUGUGAUAUAGGUUGAUAAAAUUUAAAGAAAUAAGCAAACUUUGGCAAAAUUUGAGAAAAUUGCUAAAUUGUAAGAGAUCCAAGUUUGAUGACUGAAGUGUAAAUACUCAAAAGUUAUGUCAAGCCUCAAGAUGAAGACUCGAGAGUGCUGGGAAGAAAGAUGUCAAAUGGACGAAAUAUAGUCCAAGUAUGAUUACACAUCAAUUUUCCAACCGAAAAAGUUAUGCUUCGAAUUUUUAGUCACAUAUUGAGACCUAUUUUUGACAUAGCAAAUGAUCGAAUUGGAGAAUAAUAUCUGAAGCAACAUUGUAGCCGUUUGAGUUUCUUGAAUCGCCUCAAUCAAAGAUCCGACGAAAACAUUAUGAUAAAAAUACUGAAGGACACACAAACAGCCAUUUCAUCCAAAGUGGGCGCCACAUAGCCAACCUUGCUGAAAAUCAGCAGAAUACGGGGCGCCAAGGUGCCACCCGUGCAGGAAAGGUUUUCUUAUUUUAUACUUUUGGAUUCUUUUCUAGACCCAAUUAAACCCUAUUUCGUUCAAGACCCCAAAACACUAUAAAUACAAUAUCAAAGACCUAUUUUUCAAAGACAAUUUUGAAUGGAGAAUUCAAGAGGGCAAGGAGGCAAAACACCAAGAGAUUCAAGAACAGGAGAAGAAAUUGAAGAUCUACAACUGAAUUUUUUCUAUUCUCUGCCCUAUGUCUUUUUAUAUGAAUUUUAGUAUUUUCAUAGAUUAUAGCAUGAACUAAUUCUUUAUCUAGGGAUUGAUCGUAGCCAAAACUUGAUAUUACGAUUUAAUUUUAUCAUAGUUAUUUCUAUUUGAUUUUCCACAUAUAUUUGAUUGUAUCAUGAAAAAUGCUUUCAAUUAAUUAGCUACUAAUUGAAUGAUUAGAUACUAGUCAGUUUUGGCACUCAAGAGAGGAGAAUUUAGGAAUGAUCAUAGGAUUGAUACAACGUAAAUUUUAUGAGUUUCGAGAGAAAGCAUAUAAUCUAUGAAGCCUACUACAUAAAAGAAUCGUGAACUUGAUAAAUUCUUGACUUUGAUAUGGAAUAGAGAUAUUGGGAUUGAAAUCUAGGAUUAAUUUUUACCCAUCACUCGAGGGAGGGGAGAGAAAUACUUUAGUAUUCUUGCUUUUAAAUAUGGAAAAUUGAUUAGAACAACUGUACUUAACUAAAUCAUAAUUGAUCGCUAGGUAAAAUCAUUCCCUAGGCCUUUCCAUCUUGAUUAACUUCAUAUAAUUUUUACUCAUUGAAUUCACACCACAUUAAUCACAUUAAUUUAGUUAAAAUCGUUGGUUUCAAUUUUCAUUUGUUUGAAUAAAAUAAAGGCUAUAUAAUUAUAGUACCUAGUAUAAAAUUAAAUUACAAUCACUGUGAAUUCGACAUCCUAACUCAUAUACUAUAUUAUAAAACUUGAUACCGUCCACUUGCGGUAUAAAUCACGUUGUAGAAAGUGCGUUGCAAUUUUUCAAUUAAAUUCUUUUUGAAUUAACAUAUAAACUUUGAAAUUAAUUUUCAACUUCGAAAUGUGUUACGCACGGAAUCCAUGUAGUAAAGACUGAAAGUUAUCACAAUUUUUCCUUUCGACAUUACUCUUAAAGUAUUAUGCUGCUCAACAAAUUGCUUUAAAGUUUUCCUUGAAUUUUACAUAGUCAUCAAAUCAUGCCACCAUACUCUUGCUACAUUGUCAACCACCCCAAAAUGCGUCAUUUACAAAUGUAGGAAGCCCACAAUUCAUCUUUGUAAAUAAUUUAUCAAACCGUACAUUUUUCGCGAAGAUUGAACUACUCCCAUCUUCAAAUUUUCUUUCUCCAAAGAUUAGUAAACAAAAUUAUGCAAGACAUUUUAGUUUUUCAUACAUCUUGUAGGCUCUUAAAUUCUCUGAUAUAUUUUCAAUUAUAUGUCAUAGACACCAACGAUGUUUAGAGAUAGGAAACACAACCUCAAUUGCUUUCUAUUUUGCUUUCUCUUGAUCUGCGAUUAUAACAAUCUUGUGCAUGUCUAGAAAUACAUGAUUGUCAAGUACAAAACAACCAAAUAAAUGCAGGAAUGUCUUUGUUUGAUAGUAACUCAUAUUUAAAUAAAAUUAAGUGUCGUAACACCCACAAAAAUUCAAAGGAAAUGUUAUAAUUAUUUGUUAAUAGAUUCUGUCAAAUGUAACCACAUCACCAAAUAUUUUAAGUUACCAUACUCCUUUCAUCAGUCAAAAAUAAGUUCCUAAUUUAAGUAUUAUCAUCUACUUUCAUCAUAUAAAAGAAGCUUGAAUUCUUCGCUUGCUUCAAAACAAAACAAGCCCUUGAUUGAGCCUCAUUCUUUUCAUAAGAAUGAAUUUUUGAAUAAUGUAUUGAUAGGAAAUGUGUGGUUAAUUUUGAAUAAUGUAUUGAUAGAGAAUGUGUGGUUAAAAAAUACGAAAAUUUUUUGAAUUUGCGUGAAAUAUUAUUUUAUUGAAGAAUGUGUGGUUGAAAUGAUGUCAAAAUAUUAUUUAAAAAUAUAUUUUUUUUUUUUCAAAUAAUGGGGUUCAAACGGCGGCUAAUUGUGAAUUACUCCUGCAUUUCCAAUAUCAAAUCUUAAUCUUCUUUUCUUAUCAAUGUAUUUUCUAUAAUCUUUCUCCUACAUUCGCAUGAUUCUCAAUUUUCACUAUAAUUGUUUGAUAAUUGUUUGCUGAUUUAAUUCGAGCUCGAUCAUACAAUUCAAGUUUCUUUUUAACACGUACUAAUUUUUCUAUUGCACAUGUAAUAUUGUGAUCUUUGUGGACUCAACCCAUGAUUAUGCUCAAAUGUGGUAGAUUUAAUAUUGCACUUUCAAUCUUUAAAUACAGAAGCAUCAAUCUUACCUUUGCAUCCCACAUUCAUCAAUCGAUCAAGAAUGAUGUAAUUUUUAUUUUUAUUUUUUUGAGACAUUGUAUUUUCAACUUAGAAACAUGCAAGGGCAUAUUUAGUAUGGGGCAGUGGAGUCAGCUGCCCCCACACUUAAUUUCAAAUCCUUUAAAUUUUAUUUUAAAUUUUUUAGAGUCAUCGAUUUGUCCCCACUAUUAAAAAUUUAUGCUUCAAGAUUUUUCCUCCACGAUUUUAGUUAUAGAAAUUUUCUUCCACAAUUAAACAAUUCUAGCUUUGCUCCUAGGAACGUAACAAGCAUAGAAAUGUUAAAUCCCCAAAUGAUCGUGUUGUUUUCCUUUUAACUCCAAACCCUUCUUUCAUGUAUUUUUACAUACACGAAAGUUGUCCAGUGAUUUAAAAAUCAUCCCAACUUCAAGUGCUAGCAUAGUUUCUUUAUAAACCAGUUUGUUUACCUUUUGUUGUCCAUACAUUUUUAAUCAUUGAUAUCCAACAUAUUGCUUUUUUUCAUUAUUCAUCUCAAUCACUUUAGACUUAAUGCAGUUGGAGGAUCAAUCACUUUUUAAUCUAUGAAUAGAAACAGUAAUUAAUAGUUAAUACCACUAUAAAAUAAAAUAAAUUAUAAAUUGAAGAUUUUAUCCUAAUCCUGGUUGCUGAUGCUGGAGCAGGAAAUAUUCAGGAAAGAAGCUAUAAAAUGGCAGGCUCUUAGAAGUUAAAAUAGACGAAUGAUGAAGUCAUUGUUCUGUUUGAUUAAAAAAAAUAAUAAUAAAUUCUUUUUUAAUUUUCCAUUGUUCAUCGCAAAAUUUUUUUUUUUUUUCAAAAUAAAUUGUUGGUCAACCACUUAAAGUGCACUUGGAUUGCCGUUUUGGGGUAAUUUUUAGUUUUCUAAAACAUCCAAAACGUAUUUGAUAUAUUAUUUUCAAAAAGGCAUUUUCGAAAAUAAGGAAAAUUUUACAACAUGAAGCUCAAAAUGAUUUUUUUGACAAAAAAACUCAAAACAAGGAAAAUAAACUUAAAAUUUUCUCAAAUUAAAAUAAUUAGUAAAAUCACAUAAAACAUACCCAAAUAAUUUACGAAUAAUUUCAUUGUCAUUGUUGGAGAUAUACUUACAACAAUUCUUUCUUUCUUUCUUUUUCUCUCUUUUUUUUUUUUUACCAACUUUAAAAUUUAUAUUUUUUGCUCAUUACGGGGUUACACAAGGAGUAAAUUGAAAAGAACAAGUGCAAACUUGUUACUGUAAAGUACCUAUAAGAUUUCAAAGGUGAAUGGUCCUUUGGCCCAAUGGUGAAGAUGAAAGUGAUCAUGUUCAAGGUCAAAUUAACUUUGUGAUAAUAAUCCCUACAUAGUAAUAAUUUAGUCUAAAACAUCCUUACCUUUAAAAUAUCUUUGUGCAAAACGUCCAUAUAUUUCAAAAGUAUUUGCGCAUAAAGUCCCACUUUUCAAAAAAAUUUGCAAAAAUCAUCCCUAUUUUCUUCUAUUGUAGCAUGUUUAUACACAGCAAUACAAACUACCUAAAUGUACCAAUUCGAUCAAAGCAUCUCAAACACAAUUCAAAUAACAAUUCAACCACCAACUAAGCCAAAUCUCAACAAAAAUUAACCAACAAUUAUAAUAUAACGAUUCAGAGGCAACUUUUUCAAAAAUGUUAAAUAAGUACUAUGCAGCAAAGAUAUGUUCUGACUAUGCUAAACUCUAUCCAAUAGUUCAGAGACAUUAAAAACAGGUUGUUAAGGUGCUACAUUAUAUCCACUAACUUCAUUGCACUACCUAUGCAAUGAAGGAACAAAAACAACAACAAAAAGAAAUGUGCAGGAAAACUUGGCAAAUAGAGGAAUGCUAAUUAGGUGUUGAAAGUAGUGCCCCUUUGCAGCCUCUCCUAUUGUGUCCUGGUUUACCACAUUUCGUAUAUGUCAUUAUCAGCCCCGAUCUUUUAGUUGACCAGCUAGGGUUCCUAAAGUUAUCUAUGAAGCAUUGACAUUACCCUUCAACCUUCUAGAUCUCUUCGGCUGACUUAAAAGAGCCACCUGAUUUGUCUCUUUUCUUUUGGGCCUCCUAGCCCUCUUUAUGUACACUGGUGGAUCGAGAGGGUUCAGGCUUGGGAUAGGCCAUGAGCUUGGACCUGUGAUAGGAGAAAUUGAUUGCUUAUAUGUCUUGAUAUAUGCAUUUUUCUUAUAGGCUUCAUCUACGAACUCCAUCACAUUAAAGCCCCUGGAUACAAUUGAGGCCAUCACAUUGCAAUGAAGAAUUCUUGAUAUCUAUCAAGCUCGUCAUGUACAAGUUCUUGUCCUUAAAUCCGCAGCAUGUAGUAUGGUGUCGACAUUUUGUAGAACUUGAAGCUUUUCAUUGCCUGUGUAUUCAGUCCAUUCCAUUCUUGUAAGUUUACUAUUAUUGUCCAGAAUCUUCUAAAUUCUAAGUCCUACUGUUGCUAUUCUUUGAUCAGGGGACUUCUUACGGGCUACAAUUCUCUUAAUCAAAACACUAUUAUCUCCUCUAGCAUGGUCAUUAUGGGUUUCUCUCUUGCAUUCACAAUUGUGCAAUUAAACAGCUCGCACAAAUUGUUGAGAAGCAUGUCACAUUGAUUCCAUUCUUUGAAAUAGAAUUUACUCCAAUGAGCAGCUGGUUUUGGUUCAAGUAAUUCAUAAGCAGCCGGGUCUAAGUCCAACAUUCGUUGCAUGUGCUGAAGCCAUUGUGAUACAAUAGUAGCUCUGGCUAUAUCCCAUAAACAAUUCGUCAAAGCCAAUCCCUUGUGACAAAUACUAAAAUUGUUGUAUAGAUGUCUAAUGCACAUUCUGUGGUCCAAAUUCUUAAACAAUGACUCAAGUGCAUUAGUCACUUUUGCUUAUUGGAAAUGAAUAUCCAAUGCUGACUGUUGUGUAACUACAAAUCGUCCUUUAACAAAUCCAAAACCAUCUCCAAUUAUCCAUAUUCUCAACCUCAUCAACUGCAUACGCUAUUGUUAGCAUCAACAUCGACUGCAGUUAAUAAUUGCCCACCAUGUGUGUCUUCAAAAAGCAACCAUCUACCUCAAUCAACCCUUCUACAGCCCUAACGAAACUAUCUCUCAAAUCUUCGGAGAAAAUGUAGAGCCGUUUGAAUUCUCCAGCAUAUCCCUCAACUACAGUUGUGAGCCCAACAUUUGUCCUCUUCAACUCCUCACAAUUUUUUCAAGUGCCUUCUCCUUUGUUCUAUGCACUUAUCAAGGUGGAGAUGUCACCCAAACCAUCCCGCUAAACCCCCUCAAUGAAUGUACUUACUAACAUGUUUGCGUUAGCCUUCCAAUUGGAUAAUUAACUGGCUGCCAAAUAGGUUAAGGUCACUCUAAAGUUCUUUUAAACCGUAGGACAAAUAUGGUCUUCUACAAAAGUUUUUAUCACAAAACUUGUCUUAUUAUGCUCAUUGGUAGCAUACAAUACCUAUGAACAAUCUCCCUUAUACUUAGCUCUCAAUUUGUGAGCGUCAUACAUUUUAAAUUUAAUCUCUCUAUUCCUUCUAACUAUGUUCAGUGAUGGUGGCAUUUUGUACUGACUUUGACUCAAAUUCUAAGCUUACACACUCAAAAAAACUAAUGCAUAAAGACCUCAUUAAGCUAAAGUACAAAAUAGAUUUAAAUUGAAGUGGAGAAUAAGUUCUAGUUACCUACUCUGAAAACUAAAUCCUAAAUAUCUAUCACCACAUUGAAAGAAUCAUUGGAAACCCAACUUCUUGAAGUUGUACCCCCUCUCUCAAUAUGAAUGCUUCGUAAAUCAUCCGAGCCUCCAUAGUCAGUAUUGAAAUCCCUAACCUGCUGCUCAUCUCCUAAACCAAACCCAAAGUCGAAAUUAACUCUUUGACUCCUAGUUUCAGUAGUAGCUAUGGGAUCCUACUCUUGCUCCAUCUCAUAAUUGGAUUCCACCAAACCUUCAACUUCUUCUUC
rnacentral:lncRNA from 1 species